rnacentral:lncRNA from 1 species
CAAUUAAUUCGUUUCACUAACAAUAAUAAUUUGUUAGAUCUAAAUUACUGGUUUAAAAUAUUUAUAUACUAUACAAGGUCUCUUAUAGUUCAAUUAAAAUUAUUUUUUCAUCCGACGUGAGAUUAUUGGAGUGUUAAAUUCAGAUCACUCGAUGUGAGAUUUUAGAGCUGACAUUUAAGCCCUUAUUUGGUUGGGGGUUAAGAGGUGGAAUAACCCCUUAACUCCCAUUUUAUCCCCAAAUAUCUCAAAAAAUAGGUGGGAUUAGCUAACCCCACCUCAAAAAAAUUAUCCCGGAUUAGCUAAUCCCAUCUAACCCCACCAAACUCCAACCAAACACUAUUUUCUAUUUAUAAUAACCCACUAUCUUUCUUAUCACACCUAUUCUAACCAAUCAUUAUCCUUCUUUAUCAAUCAUUAUCUUCUUAUCCGACCUACUCCAACCAAACACUAUUUUUUAUUAUUCUAGACUAACUCCAACCCCCAACCAAACAUAAAAAAAUUUUAACCCCACUUUAACUCUGAACUUAACUCUAUUCCUGAAAUAGCUAUUUUUUUCUUAACCCCGAACCAAAUGGAGGCUAAAGGUUCAAGAGGUGCUCUCACAAAAUUCGUUGAUGUAGUACUUACUCAUUAGACUGCUCAAAAUAUUUAAAUCUAAUUAUUUUUAGUAAUAUAAAAAGAAAAAGACUCUUGUAAUUUGAUCAGAAUUAUUUUUUUAUUUGGCAUGAAACUAUUGAGGAUGCGUGCAGGCUCCACUGGAGCUCUCUCAACUUGAGAUCCAAGCCGAGCACUGGUCUCUUUCCGAAUGCAAACUGUUUGGGAGAUAUGUUUUUUUAAGCGUAAACAGUUGUCAGCAUGAAACUUCACAUCAGAGGGUCAAAACCCUACGCCCAGGCUAAUGCCCACGCUCCGUAUUAUUAGACCGAACAACUAAAUCCACGAAACAAGACAACAAAGAUCUAUCUAUUCACAAAGAGACAACAGAGAUCGAUUCAAAGCACAAGGAUGCUCUUACGGGUCCUAGCUCGACAUAAUGGCAUCUAAGAUCAUUAACCUCUUAUUAAAAAGUACUUUUAAAAAAAGCAUUUUAAAACUUCUACUGGAAACUAAAGCUGGAUUAAGAAGAACACGCUGCCUCUUUAGACCCGGCUAAGAUUUUGGGCCGCGCGUGCUGAUCAGCUUCGCGGGUCCCGCAAAGAUACACAUUUCGAUUAUAUUUAUUUUGAGUGUUUUGUUUUGUUUUGUUUUUGUUUUUUUUUUUUUUUUUAUGUUGGUUUAAUCCGCGUCGAAUAAUAAAACAUUGAGGAGGUUUGGGGAUUAGAUAGGGGGCAUUAAAUGCGGGGCACGAAAAUUAAGGCGAAUUAUCAACCGUCAAAUACGUCAUGUAGUAGUGUCCGAGCACACACCCUCUGAUCCCAAUUACCGCGGUGGGCCCCACGCGCACGAUCCCCGUCGUCAGAGGAUCGAUUAGGCGUGUACGCUAUCUUAUCACACGCCACUCCCCUGUAACAGACCUAUUCCCUCCUCUUCCCUAGCUAUUCGAAUCCAAUGUUCGCGCAUGCUCUCUCUCUCUCUCUCUCUCUCUCUCUCUCUCUCUCUAUACAAUACAAUACAAUACAAUACAAUCAACUUAUUCCUCGCUCAAGGUUGAAUUUCAUUUUAAUUAAAGAGUUAUAUAAAUAAGAUAAAAAUUAUACAAAGUUUACUUAAAUGGUCUACUAUUUUAAAUCCACUGUCUUUUUUUAAUUUUUUUAAUUUUACUAUCUAAUUUAUUAAUUUAUUUAAUUUGAAUCGGUCAAUAAUAUUGACUUCAAUAUUUAAUUUAAUAAUUUAUUUUAAUUAAAUUAUAGUCGCAAGAAUUAUAUGAAGCGUACUAUUUAAAUUUGUAAAGAUAAAUAAUACCUUUGAAAUUUAAACUCAAAUUUUUUUUUGAGAGAUAGGUAGAUCCGCUUCGUUUAUUUUAUUUAGAAAUAAACUUAGCUAGAAAUAUGAGUCUCUCGGGUAUCAACCAUUAAGUCUUUUACCACUUGCGCUAGGGACGGUCGGUAACUCAAAAUAUUGUCAACAGACAUAUAUCAAAUAAAUUGAAAGCUUGAAUAGUAAAAUUAAAAUUUUAAAUUUUUGCGUAACCAACUCAAAAUGGUCUAUAGUUCAAAUAAAUUAUAUACAUUUUUAUUUUAGAUAAAUUAUAAAUUGUAUAAAUAAAUAAUGAGUGAGUAUAAUUAAAUCAAGUUUUUUGUUUUUUUUUUUUUUGGGUGCAUCUUUCAUUAUUAAAUUUAACCGUUCAAGACAACGGCAGAAUCGGCGUGCAUGCAAAAACGUUAUGUAUAUAUGUUGUUUUUCUUCAACAGAGUUCAAUGGGGAUUAUUAUUUCACUGCAGUGGCAAAGAAACGUAUCCGCAUUGAAAACUUUAAAAACUUUCUUAUUAAUCACAAUGUAUUCGAUUAGACGUAGCGGAAAGUUCGUUAGUAAAAAGGGAUUACUCAUCGUAUCUACGAAGGUUAAUUAUAGCUCAAAGAAGCUUUCUUAAUUUUAAAUAGAUGUAGCGCUUCACUAUUUAGAAAAAUAGCAAGAAUAUUUACAUCUAACCCACUUUAUAUAUUUUAGAGAAACUUCAAAAAUUCCCACUGUGGUUUCACAUUUUUUCAUUUUAAUACCCUGUGGUUUAAAGUGUAUCAGGUUAAUACCCUGUGGUUUCUCACUUUAUCACUUUAGUAUCCUGUGAUUUAAAAUGUAUCAAGUUAAUGCCCUGUGCUUUUAUUUUUUUAUUAAGCUAGUACCCUAUGGUUUUUAAACCACAGGGUACUAAAGUAAUAAAGUACGAAACCACAGAGUACUAAGGCAAAAAAGUGCGAAACCACAGGAUACUAAUUUGAUACACUUUAAACCACAGUGUACUAAAGUGAAAAAGUGCAAAACCACAAAGUAUUAACUUGAUACACUUUAAACUAUAGGAUACUAUAGUGAAAAAAAAAGUAAAACCACAAUGAGGUAUUUUGAAGUUUUUCCUAUAUUUUAUGCAUAUCAGAGAGAGUCUCUCGGAAUGCAUCCACCGCUACACAUACGCAGCGGUUCCAAUAAGAGCAAUACUAUUUAUAUACAUGUAAUAUAAUUAUAAAGCUUAAGCCCUGAUGCUAACUUGGCUUAAUAACUUUUUUUAACUAAACUUUUCUAAAAAAAUUUAAGACCAGAGUGUCACGGAUAAAAUGUUUCCCGCUGACUUCUCCUUGACAGUGGCCCAAAUCUGCUAGCAAAACGGGUUGAAAAUAGGUUGAAUCGGAUUGUCAAGGAGACCCAAACCUAACCCGCUGUGUGAAGACGAAAGGUUUUGUAACCUCUCCUAUCAAUGAGGAAGCUCAAGGAUUAUAAAACUCCAAUGAGCUAUGGGGUGACUCUUAGGCUUAUGGCUCAUUAUGAGGGUGAGUUAAUGUGUCACAUAAUGAGAGAGUUAGUGUGUGUCUAGGUUCAUUGUAUCUAGAAACAUAUAAGUAGUGAGGUUUGAGUAAGGUCAAAACACAUAAGAGAGAGCGUGUAUGUGAGUUGUAAUUCUCAUUUUUCUAAGUAGUGUAGUACUUAGCUUUUUGAGUGAAUUUCUGUCUCUCUCUCUUUGUCAUUUCCUUUGCAUACUUAGUCGUAGGACGCGAAGAUCCGGACUAGCAAUAGGAACGAAGGCUUGCCCAUUUUCGAGCAGGAAGGCGGGCGCCGCACGGGCUUUGCAAACAGAAACGCUAAGGCCGUGAGAAGAGGGUGUAAAACAUAUAAUUUUAUAUGCAAUCUAUAGAGAGUAUUUCCUUCAAAGUAACUGUAUGCUCCGUGUAUUUUUUUAGAAAUAAAUUCAACUAAAAAUAUAAAAUAGUUAAAUUUUGAACUGAAAAUUACAGAUAUCAAAUAAUAGCUAUUUAGUUUUUGAGCGUGCGCUGAAGCUUUUCUGGACCCGGGAUCGAGUCCCGACCAAAGUUAGUUAAUUCGGAUUCGGCAAAAAUUCGGUACGGAUAUAAUUCGAAUAAAAUUCGUCUUCUAAUUUUUAAAUUCGUUAAAAAAUACCGCCAAAAAAUGGAUUCACCAAUUAUUCGGAUAUGUGAUUUAUAUGGAUAUUAUACGUUCACCAAUUAAAAAUUCGGGAUAAAAAAUUCGACUAUUAAAUUAAUUUUUUUUUCUCUCAAGAUUUAUGCUAUUAGCAUAAAUACUCAUAUUUCUUAAGAAUAUAAAAAUAAAGAGUACAAAAUUAAGCUAAUUAAGUAAAAAAAUAGCAAACUAUAUUAUGCCUCAAACUAAAUAAAUAAUUAAGUAAAUAAGAGAUUAAGAUGGUCCAUAAGAGAUUAAACUUUUUUGAUCGAGUGAAAUUUUUUUUUUUGGGAGGAAGAGAGGCGAACGUUUCGGAAAGUGCUUUCUUUUUUCUUUUUUUUUUUUCUGUUUUGGGCGAGGUUUGGAUUCUUUGAAAAGGGUUUUUUUUUCUGUUUUGGGCGUGGUUUGAAAAGGUUUUUUCUUUUUUUCUUUUUCUGUUUUGGGCUCGCCGCGAGGCCCGCGAGGCCUGCGAGGCCCUCGAGUGCGAGCGUGAGCGAGCCGUGAGGGCGGAGCGUGAGCGUGAGGACCGCGAGCGCCGUCUUUUUGGCCGAAUAUUCGCGACUCACGAAUUGUUUGCGAAUAAAUAUUUUUGACCAAAAAUAGACAUUUUUUUCCGAAUUUUUGGAAAAAAAAAAACGAAUGCAAUCGUUGAAUUCAUUUCUUCAAAAGUUUGCAAAUAAUUUGCGAAUUAACUAACAUAGGUCCGGACUGAAACUUUCAAGGAUGAUUUUUUUUAGAUUGGAAAAUGCUUACGGACAUUGACAAAAAAAAAAAGAAAAAAAAAGCGCCCCGCACACGCAGACUCUUUAGCGUUACAAGUAAAUCACUAUGUACGCAUAAGGUCGCACAGGUCGGUCCCAACUUAGUAACUCAGGAACACGCCGGAAACCUGAUAUAUUCACCCACAUUUUCUAAAAGCUCGCGUCAUUUGCCCGCACUGUCCUGAGGAUCAUACAUAUCAUGGGCAAGUGGAAAAAGUAGAGCGGAUGAAGUGAUGGAGUGGAGAAUAAGAUCACCGACCUAAUACGCUUGGGAGAGCGUAAUUACGAAUUAGGAGAGAGAAUAUGAGGGCCUGGGCCCCACCGGAGCAUGGCGCGAAGAGCGUGACGUUGCUUCGGACCGCGGACACCCAUUGGACCACACAUCGCCCGGCCCAUGUCGCGGAUCUCCGUGUCCCCGAAUGCGAGAGAGAUCUCCCACCGUCCGUCUCCCCCCAUCGGACGGUCGCCGCGUUCCUGACACCUCCUGGUCCCCGCUUCACAUGGCGGGUCCCCUCCCCCUGCUUGCUACCUCUAGCAGAUUUUGCUUGCACCCGGUGCACUCUGGCAGCGGUGCGCUAUGGUCGAUAGUAAUUUUUAUGAAUCGUCUCAAAAAUACUUUGUAAGAAAAUAACUUAAAAUUGAUUUUUUUUACUAUAUAUAUAUAUAUAUUAUUUGGAUAGUAUUUUAUUGAACAACGUAAAACUAAGUAGAUUUAAAUUUCUAUUGCUUAAAUAUAUUUUUAUUAAAAUUAAGUUGGAGUGGUUUUAGAAAUAUAGAGAUCUUUGUGAUUUUAAGUCAUUAACAGUAAAAGAAUUUUCAAAUUGGCGAUCAGUUUUAUUAAAUUUGAUUUAAAGUUUAAAAAAAAUUCUAAUUUUUUAAUAUUGUUAAUCUAUCUAGUCAUAAAAAGAGUUAAAAAUGAUAACUAAUUUUAAAACUCAAUUUGAGCCAUUUAUGAGCUUAAUGGAAUAUACGUAUCUAAAUUAUGCAGUAUUUAGGUAUGUAUAUACCAUGGAUGGAAGAUACGAGCGUGGAUGAAUGAGCAACCACGGAUGAGUCCGAUGCACGGAAGAGGUGGUGAGCCGGGCGCAGGGUAGAAUUUCUUCGUCCCACUCGAGGAUUGGCUGGACUGGGAACCUCCUUCCACGUAACGGCUACAUGUCACGCUGGGAGACUGACACGCCAGGGUUAAGAGAGCCGCGGCGCGGGAGAAGCCGUUACACCGAACGACGACUAACAUUAUUUAGGAGCGCGGAACUCGCAGAACACCGGGCGGUAAAAAGGACGCUGACCAAUGGCAUCGCGACACGUACUCAAGCCCCGUGCUGUUUAGUCUAAUCAACGGCAUCACGUGGCCACCUCCGUAAUGAUUCAGACCAGCAUUCGACAACCGUAUGCCACGAGUCACACAGCACGUGACCUCCUCUCCCGGCCCCCCUCCCCCGCCCCCACUCCACCCCUCUGACGCUUUACUACUUAACCGCCUUAAUAAAUCCUUUACCUUCCCCACUACGCUCCUCGUCGUCGUCGUCGUCGUCGUCGAAUCGCGGUAAAUUGUAAAGAGAGCUUUUUUUAACUGCUCUUUAAUGGUCUCUUUGCUAUUGCUAUAAAUUUUGGGGUGGAUUUUUUGCCUUGAUUUUGAGGGAUUUGGGGAUCGAAACCACCGGGGUUUUGCAAUCAUUGCGGGAGAUUGCGGGCUUAUUGCUGUUCCCAAUUUUGAUUAUAUAAGCUUUAAUUUCCCAGUCUCAAGUGGGGGAGCCAAGUGGUUUAGCUCUAACUAGAGAGGGAGAGAGAGAGAGAGAGAGAGAGAGAGGGAAAUUUGAUGGAUUUAAGCUUGGUGCCGUACGGGGGGGAGAUGGGGAAGGGGAGAGGGGAGGUGGGGGCGGCGGCGGAGGGCGGCGGCGGCGGCGCGGGAGGAGGGAGGUAUAGGGAGUGUAUGAGGAACCACGCGGCGGCGAUCGGGGGCCAAGCGUACGACGGGUGCGGCGAGUUCAUGCCGGGGGGAGCGGAGGGGAGCCUCGAGGCGCUCAAGUGCGCGGCGUGCGGCUGCCACCGCAACUUCCACCGCCGCAAUGGCGGGGCGGACGCGCGCCGCGCGCAGAUCGCCUACGGCUGGGACCAGCGCAAGCCGAUUCGCGGCCGCGCGCCGCCCUUCCCGCGUUCCUCGCCCCUGGCCCCGCUCCCCGCUCCCUACCACGCCAUCGCGCCCCCGCGCCGCCCGCCGCUCGCCACCCAGCACCAGCACACCACCAGCACCAGCACUCCGCGGCGUACAAACGCCGGGGACCGGCAGCGCGGACGGGUCGAUGAUCCGCCGCCGCGGCGCGAGAGGAGCGGUCGGGGCGGGGACCGCGCGUCGCGCGAAGGCGCUUCCGCACCAAGUUCAACCGCAGGACAGAAGAGAAGAUGCAGCGCGUUCGCGGAGAAGCGUGGGGUGGCGAUCAAGAAGCACGACGUCCGUGGCGCUUCCAGCAGUUCGACCUCGAGGAUUCGCGUCGACACGCCUCCUUCCACAGGGUGCAUCAGUGGAUGCACAACAACAAGAGCCCACCUCGCCUCUCCCUCCCCUCCGCAUCCUCCCCUCUCCACUCCCCUUCUCCUUCCCCUUCACCCCCACCGCGCCGCCGUGCCGCCGCCGCCGCGCCGCGCGCCCAACUCCGCCGCCGCCGCGCCGCCUCUCCUCCGCCAUCCGAGUCUGAAGCUCCAGCUCUCGAUCGAGAAAGAUUGCGAUGUGUUUAACAAUAAUUAUUGAUGGCGCGCCGACAUUCUAAUCUCCGUCGCUUUUCCCCAGGUAUACGAAACGAAACCUGAAACAAAAAAAAAAAAAAAAAAAAAAAAAACAAACGCGUCGAGUGCUGUGAUAUUUGGGGGCAUUCCUUCCGGAUUCUAUAUUAAAUUAUGUUAUUAUAUAUUAUUAUAUGUAGCUUAGAUCCUAGAUUAGAUCUUAGUGUAGAUGAUGAUGAUGAGGUGAGGCUCUGAUGCUUCUUCACCUGAAUAUUUCUAUCUCUGGUAUUAUUCUAAUGAAUGAAUAUUUUACGUCUCUAUCGAAUGAUUAGCGCGUUUCUAUAUUAGUUAACAUCUCUAUGGAAUGAUUAGUUUAAUCUACGGUUAUUUCUUAGAGGGUGUUUGGUUGUACCAAAAAGAAUAAGAAAUUGCUUUCUAUAAUAUAUUUUUUUUAAUAAAAUACAGAAAAGUGCUUUCUAUUUAUAGAUCUCAUUUUUUAAAUAAAAAAAUUUUAAAAAUUAAUUUCGCGAAAUUUAUAAUUCUUAAAUUUUUUUUUUUAAAAAAAAUUGGACGAUAGAUAUCUAUGUGUACGGUGUGGUUGGUGUCAAGGUAUAAAUUCUCCUUUAUGAGGAUUAUUAUUAUUAAGGAGAUGUGGGAACCAACUGGCGUCGCUGUAGGAGACAACAAAAAGAAAAUGAGCUUUUGUGCUGAUCAUCAUGUGCAAAAAAAUUACAGCACCAAAAUGACAUCCGAGCAGCCUCUUAUAGCUAGGGUUUGUUAAUUUGUUGUGUGGAAAAGAAUUCGACACAUGAAUCCAACCAGCUCUUAGCCAGGAUGAGUCUUAAUCAUUGCUUGCUCGGUCUGAUCAGAUUUGCAGUGUCUGAGAACUGUUCGUGAAGUGCGGUAGUGCCAAACGUGCAGGAAAGCCGAACCACUGUCGGUGUCGGUUGUCGGGCGGCACGGUCGACACUCGACUGUGAUUCCUCUGGGACUGAAGCAUAUGACUGUAUUACAGUCCCCCCUGCUCUUACGUACUAGCUCGCUCGCUCGCCUACGAAUCUACGAUGCGAACUUGUGGCGACGACGGCGACGUUGUCCGCCUCCAGUGCAUGCAAAGUGAUCAAACACUCCCCCAGUGGAUGUUAACUUCUAACUCUUUUGGGCCUACCGGGACCCCAGCCGGAUUGCAUGAUGGGGUGAUAGAUCGAGAUGAAUAUAGCUUCCGAUAGUGGAUUCUGAAGGGAUUUAGGCUCUGUAUUAAUCCACGAGUAUGAUAGCGAAGUUUCAUAGCUAGUGCUAUAUGUGGGCCAAGAAGUAUCUUCAGCAGAUGCUUGGGACAAUGAUAUUAAGCUAAUUAAUUAGUGUCUUGUAGGAGGGCUUUAUCUGGGUUUGGGAAUUUGGGUGUUGAUAUUAGAUAGUUGUUUCAUACAGUUGGUUGGUUCCGAACUGCAUAAACUGAAAGUGGGCUUACCGUGCCUGCCGAAGUGCACUUCGGUCCUCACUGUUGCCGGGGAACUGGAGAUCGAAAAGAGUACAUGUACUUCACCUGAGUUUCCACAACUACUACACUCGAAAGGGUUGCUACGCUGUGGUUGGGUUGGAAUUACUACAGAAAAAAUUGUUUGAAUAAAAAAGUUUGAAGAAGCAUCUAUCUUGCUUCAGGGUCCAGCAAAAGCUUACUAGCUCAUUUGGGAGCUUGAAAAGCUUAUUUAUGUUACAUCUCAGGGCGAAGCUUGAUCUAAGUUUUCAUUUGUCAAAGAGCCAACUCAAAACACGGUUCAGAAAUAGAAGCUAUGCCAAACAAGCCUCUAAGCGUUCUUAUAUAGGUUAAGAAUGGCGACGUGAAAUGUUUGGGAAUAUAGCAGCAAAAUAGAAAUAUUUUGUACUUCAUAUAAAACUAAGAUUGAAAUGGAGAUAAUGAGUGGUGAUCAUAUAGCUGGGUGAAGUACACAACUAUGAUGCAAGCCUAGACUCGGUAGUGUCUACAUUAACAAGUACAAUCUAAUUUUUGUUUCAAAAAAUAUGCAAAAUCUAGAAUUUAUCGAUCUCACUGCUACUCGGAACUCGAUCUUGAUUUACAUGAAUUACGGCAAUUUUUUCUUUUCUCUCUUUGUAUCAGCUAAACUUUGGAGCUUACAAGCCAUGCAUGUUGCAACUCCAAACCAAUGCUAAUAUACUGAACAUGCUAUAAUGCAAUUAGGCAUAAUCUAACCUAUGGCCUUGUUUAGCCUAGUGGGUGCGGCAUGGCCCGUCGCAACAAAAGCAGCCCAUUUUGAGGCCACUUUCUACCGCGCAGCUCUACACGUCACUGCAAUUUAUUACUAAAUGUAUUUCUAGAGUUCAAAAAUUCGCGAUGUGCAGUACAGCUGGGCCAAACAGGCUAUAAAUAAUGCGCAAUUCCAAGUUGAAUCACAGCCCAUUAAUGUAAGCCAUAUCGUUUGAAAGUUCCUUUGCCACACUUUAUUCCUAUCCAGGAUAGACAUGAGGAAUAAGUACCCCACACGUCCCUAUCUCUACCCAGGCCAUUUUCAAAGCUUUACAUAAGGAAUCGAUCUCAAAAUGAUAAAAGCUCACAAAACAAAUUGAAAGAGAAAAGAAGAAGGGUCCAGAGAACCUUGAAGUAACUUAAGGAUUGAGAACAUGGGAUUGUGGAACUGGCCUUGGAGCACGGGACCAUCCGGCUUUGGCUCAUCUUCUACCGCCGAAGAGGUUACCGAAGGAAUUGACGCUAGCCAUCUCACGGUUAUCGUCACAGGUUCAUGUAUUUCCUAUAUGUUCCGAAGUAUCGAUAUCCAGUCGCUGCAAUUCAGUUUCGUUUCAGUCAUAUCAGUUUCAAAUUAGUUCGGUGGACAGAGGUCGCAAACAUCAAAAUUCAAAAUUGAAAAGUUGAAUUGUGUAAACAGUUUGGAACAGUUCAUACCGGUGCACAAUCAACUAAGACAACAAACGGAACAAAACUGUCGAAGAUAACAGUACGAACAGUAGUUAAAUAAGUCCCAACUUAGAUCAGUGGUAACUGCUAUGCGUAUUAUCAUUUGAAUUCCAUUGAGUAAUCAAUAGUUAAAAUUAGUGAAUCCCACAGAACCUCAGCAUACACCACAUAUUAGGCACCUAAAGAGAGUUUAAUUCUAUCCCUGCUAGAUUACAAAAACAGUGGUGUUUGGGAGUUAACCUUACUUAUCUCUUGUUUCUUUAUUUUCUACAGCCGAAAAUUCCAUAUCAAUUAUUCAGAAUCUGAUGCCUGGUCGACAACCAAUUACAUUAAACUAUCAAUUUGUUUCGUCCCCUUCUACUUCAAAUAAGUGCUGCUGCUUUCAUGCAUGGCAGGAGCAACAAAUGGCAUUGGGAAAGAGACUGCAAGAGUAUUAGCACUAAGAGGAGCAAAAGUGAUAAUGCCGUCGCGGACUCUGGAGAGUGGCAUGAAGGCGAAAGAGAGCCUCCUCGAGCAAAAUCCGAAUUCGAAACUCGACGUUAUGGAGAUGGAUCUCAGCUCCCUCGAAUCCGUUCGGAAGUUUGCGCAGUCCUUCAAUUCAAGAAACAAGCAUUUGAACAUUCUAAUGUACGAUUAGCCCGGUAUUUCAUCGGUUAGUUUAUCUGGCUGUAAAGAUUCUGAUGGGCACGUUCUUUCGAUUGAUUACAGCAACAAUGCAGGAAUAAUGGCUUGCCCAUUCCAGCUAUCGAAAGAUGGAAUAGAGUUGCAGUUUGCUACAAAUCACCUUGGUAUUAAUCCUCCACGAAACAAGAAAGAAUAGGUCUAGUUCCAUGAACAAAUAGAGAACGCACAGGCGCCGCUUGAACUCUGCACUUUUUCUGAAUUAGAGCACUGUGAUCAACAUUUUGGUCGGAACAGCAUUGGUUUUCUAUUCCCCGUAACUAGCCAAAUAGUGGAACUUACAGACCCUUUUAACUUUGAAAUCUGGCUCUCGAACUUCAUCGAACGAGUUUUUACUUUUGCCUCGUUGACAAAAAAAAAAAAAAAAACAACUACGACCCUGAACAUGUACCCCGGUUACUCGAGUUAUUCAGGAUUUUUGUCCUCGGUUCUUAUUCCAAAAUAUGAUUCUGAUGUGCUUCCAAUUUGUGAACAAUUUCCUCUAUUCCAUGUAGAACUUAUUUGCUUAAAAAAUGUAGGGCAUUACUUGCUGACAAGUCUUCUACUAGACAAACUGAAAACUACAGCUAAAGAAACAGGAAUUCAGGGAAGGAUUAUAAAUGUCUCGUCGACUGCUCAUAGAAGCAGCGACGGAUCUUUCUUCGAUCUGGAGAAGUUAAAUGAUCAGUCCAGGUAGACUCAUAGAUUCUCUAGUAAAUUCUUUAUACUACUUGAAUUAAUCAAAAAUGAAAUACUUUAUCUUUCAGUUCCAUUAUCAUUCUUGUAGGUACAAACCUUUCGGUGCAUAUGCUCAUUCGAAAUUGGCAAACAUACUCCAUGCAAAUGAGCUCUCUAGGCGACUACAGGUCUUCAUCACUUAUUUACAGAAAAAAGUCUCGUAAAGUCGAACAAGCAUAAUCUGAUAAGAAAAUUAUAGUAACUCCAAUUUGAUAUCAAUUAGGAAGAGGGAUCGGACGUGACCGCCAACUCUUUGCACCCAGGAGUUAUAGUGACCAAUAUAGGUCGCUACCUUACUUCAAACGGUAAUGGCGAUUUUCCGCUGUCGAUAUAUAUUUUGAUUAUUUCCUGUUAGCUAAAGCAUGUGUUUGCUCCUUGACUCACGCAGCCGUGGUAUUUACACUACUAGCUACUUUGGUAAAACCUUUUGUGAAAAGUAUACCCCAGGUAAGUUAUAAUUCCUAUAUCAUCUUUUCUGUAUUUCUGUCAAUAUUUCGGCUUGUUUUCAUUCAAAUAAACAUAAAACAACUCUGAGAGCAUAAAAUAUUUCGCAUGACAAAGACAUUCUAAUACUUGCAGGGAGCUGCAACUACUUGUUAUUUAGCGUUGCACCCGAAUCUAAAGGAUGUAAGCGGAAAAUACUUCGCUAACUGCAACGAAACAACACCUUCUGCCAAAGCAAGAGAUGGAGAAUUAGGUAAAAGGCUCUGGGAGUUUAGUGAAGAACUUCUCCAGAGAAGCAGCAAGGCGACAAAAUAAUGUUAAUAUAAAGCACUAUAUAUCACUUACAGUAGCAUGAACAAUUCACUAACCAAUGCAUUGCAUUGUUAUCACCUCUAGCUUAAAGAUCAUUCAAAUUAUCCUUAUAUUUAGAAAAUAAAAAUGCCAGAACUUGAUGCCUUCUCUUUUGAAUCCGGAAAAUCUGAUUGUGGUGCUUUAUACCUUCCCUAAAUUCAGAAUUAGGAUUGGUAAUUGAUUGGUUUCUUUUACCAAUCCCUCUACAUCUCUUUCGUCGCCAGUUCUUUUGGCAUUGCUUUAUUUAAUUUCCAAUCUUUCUACAAGUUCAUUUGUUUUUUUUUUCUCUGUUCUAAUGUCAAAUUGCAAUGAUCAGUUUCUGCUCCAAACUUGUUGAAGUUUUGUUCAUUCACUCUCCCACUAUAUCUGUGGUCAGUUCCUCUUGCCAAUAUUUGUGUUUAUUUUCUCAUGCAAGCUCUGCAACAUAUACAUAUUGGCACAAACUAGUACAAUUAUAACCUUGUAAUCACACACUAUAUGGUGUGUUCAAUUAUUGUAAAUAUUAUAGCAUCGUGGAGUAUUAUGUUAGAAAAAUGAAAAAAAUAUAUUUUCUUCUUUAGUUUUCACGAGGAUGAAUGCUUAAGAGUGAUAGCAUUCACUGAAGGCAAAGGACCAAAUUCCAUCCUCAAAAAAGAUGCUUUCAUUUGUCCUACAAUUACAUAAACAUUAUGCAUUACUAAAGACUAAAGUGAAUAAAUGCACCAAAAUCUCUGAACUAUUGCACUUUUAUAAAUGGUUGCUAAAAUUUUUAAAAGCUACCAUUAGCUAUCUAAACAAUUUGUUUGUUUCAAUCAAUCAUCUAGUCUAACUUUUGUUAAUAUUUGCUAUAUUCUUCGGCACGUCAGAAUCACGUGAUCCAAAAUUGAAAAUUUUGACUAAAUCACUAAUUAUUUUAACAAGAUCCUUCAUCAAAAUUGACUAAACUAACAAUAAAAAGAAACUUCAAAAGCCUCUUUUUUUUUUUUGAGAAAAAGAUAACAUACUACCCGCUUCAUUCAUUCAAGGCGUGAAUUAAACUACAUGGGUGAAGCAUCAGGGCCUCAAAGGUGACAAAAACAAAAAAAUGACGGAUGUUGUUUACAAGGUACAGUUAAAUCUGCUAUACUGUCAACAAGAUCUAUCUAUAGAUCAAAAAUUUUUCCACUGAGCCAUCAGGUGUUUGAUCUUAUGGAUCCCACUGAGGAGGUCCGCCUGGGCCUUCAUAAAAAUCGCUACGUUCCUAGUCUCUCACACCACCCACCAGCAAGCUAUAAUACCACUUAAACCGUUACUCGUGGAUUGUCCCCCCUUCCGACCUUUUCAAAUAUCCCACACUAAGUGUAUGCCAUCUUCCAAGUCUCGUGGCUGGACAUCCUCCAGUGACAUCACCAGUUUCAAAAGCCUAUUUUAAAAUGAACCAUAGUUGAUCCAGAAAGUCUGCAUACAUUUAAUUGAGGCUCCUUUACAAAAUAAAAAGUUGAAGGGCUACUUUGGAAAUUCCGCAUAAUUGAGGAGUGUUACUACACUUUACCAAAAAAGAUAUGACGUGGUGAGCAUGGUCCAGGAUAAUUUUCUCCGGCGGUGAGCCUUGCAUCAGCGUGCUUAUAUAUUUAAGCUCAUAAACCGAACUCCUCCGUAUCCAAAGAGAGGGGAAAAGGGCCGUAAAAAAUGGCGCCUCUUCUACCGAGCUCGCAACCAUGGGUGGAGAAAUAGUGCGCCCGCCUCUUCCCCUCUCUUCUAGGGUUUAGGGUUUGGUGCUCUCUCUCGCUCUCUCUCCUCUGUUCCCUCUCGGUUUGACCCCUCUCUCCCUCUCUCUUCUCGCAGUCGCCCGAAGAAGGUGAAGGAUGUGGCGCAUCAGGACGAGGUCGUGCGCGUCGUCACCAACACCCUCGAAACCGCCGAUGUGAGAACCCUAGAAACCCUACACCAUUCUUCUUCUUCGUCCUAGUUCCCUUGAUCAUUGUUGAUCUUUAUGGAUUGGAACCCUAAUGUAACCUACAGUUGCCUCACUUGCUCUUCUAUGGCCCUCCUGGAACCGGGAAGACCACCACCGCCCUUGCCAUCGCGCACCAGCUUUUUGGGUAAUUCUUGAUCAUCAAAUAACUGCAUCCAGGAGGGGAUUUUUCGAUUCCUCAUGGAUUAGGGUUUUAUUGUUUCAGUAAUCCAGCUGAUUAGGGUUUUUCGUCUCAGGGGUAUUUAAUCUAGUAGUAAGUCGUAUUGUGUUGGACAAGGGCGUUUAGUUUCUCUGAUUGGGUCUACUAAUCCUAUUAACUGUUGAGCGCAUUUAUUCUUUUCAAAGAUGUCUUUAUACAUAACACAAUGCUCACUCUAUCAUUCAUUUGUCUAUCUUAAUAAUGCGCAUAACAUCAGUGUUCUGCGUAAGUUCUUGCAUUAAAUUAAUCCGACAAUAUUUGGGUCAUCUGCUGCUUAUUAAGUUUUGUAGUUCUCUUUGGUAUUAGAUUAGGCAUAACAUAACAUCAAGCUGCAAGUUUGAUACUGUAUCUUGCUUUCUUUGCUAACUAUCUACUUGCCAGCAGACACUCACUUAAUGACUUGCAUCAGAUCGAAAAAUUUGUCGAUUCAGAGGAAGGAUAAGACCAGUGCUGCUAUAAGGCUGUAAAUCCAGCCUCAAUCGUUGGUGACGGGAAGAAGAUAUUAUCUGUUACUGCUUUAACCCGUUCUACUUUUAUCAUAACUAACCUAAAACAUUGGGUGGUUUUUUAUAGAGAUUCAGGCAUUCAAUGCAAACUGAUAUUUUGAACCUGAUAAGACGCGCUAUACAUUUAUGCGGAUUCUUACAGUGAACAUUUAAGAACUGCCGGUCUAAAUUUUUGAGCUGCGCAGCUUAUCAGAAGGAUUUUUCCGUCUUUAUUUCUGAAAAAAAAUUGCAGACCAGAAUUAUACAAGUCGAGAGUUCUAGAACUUAAUGCAAGUGAUGAUCGCGGAAUUAACGUUGUGCGAACAAAAAUAAAGGACUUUGCUGCUGUUGCUGUAGGUUCUAAACCACAUCAAGGGUAUAUAUACUUGUCAAUUUGAAAAUGCUUCUCAUUCUUAAUUUUUUAAUUAUUUGUUUUAUUAUUAUUUUUUUACUCUUCACUUUUGUGGUUUUAGAGGUUAUCCAUGCCCACCUUACAAAAUAAUUAUACUUGAUGAAGCAGAUUCGAUGACGGAAGAUGCUCAGGUAUAUGGCAUGCAACUGUUACUCUUUUACUUUGUUUGAUGUGGGAAUACACAUUUAAUUUGAAUGGCUCCUAAACAUCUACCCAACAGAAUGCCUUGAGACGAACUAUGGAGACUUACUCCAAAGUAACAAGAUUCUUCUUCAUAUGUAACUAUAUCAGCAGGUCUCUUCCCACUUCCUUUUCUAGUUUGAUUAUGUGAUGCACUUGCAAGUAAUUUGGUUGUUUGAUUCACUUCCUGUUGGGAAUACAGGAUCAUAGAGCCGCUUGCCUCCAGAUGCGCGAAAUUUAGAUUUAAACCUCUUUCUGAAGAAGUGAUGAGUGGUCGAAUCUUGCACAUAUGUAAUGAAGAAGGGCUUAAUCUGGAUAGUGAGGUGCUCUCUGUUCUCUUUACUUUAAGUUUGCUGUCAAAUUUGCCUUGUUUAUUAUCGACUUAUACAUGAAUGCUUUCUAUGUGUCAAUUAGGCUCUUUCUACCCUCGGCUCCAUCUCUCAAGGUGAUCUUCGUCGUGCCAUAACUUAUCUGCAGGUCUCAUCUCUUGCAUUAGAACUGUAUGAUUUCUUUCAUUAGUUUGCCUGGCGGACAUCCUGUUUUGUUUUUUUCCCCUAAUAGCUUUUUCAAUUUUUUUUUAUCUUCUCUGUCAAUUGAGAACAAGUUUAUUGUAAUCUUUAGAGACAUGCUUUAACUCAUUUAUCUUGUACUUCUGAAUUAUUGCAGAGUGCAGCUCGAUUGUUUGGGUCAUCUAUUUCUUCCAAUGACCUAAUUAGUGUUUCUGGGGUAUUCAACUGGCACUGAGACUUCAUUAUUUUUUCACUUUUGUGUGUUGAAAUUUGGAAAACUGGUUCAUCGAGUUUGAUCAAAUGACGAGAGGAUAUAUAUAAAAGAAUAGAGGAUCACAAGAUACAUGCAACCGUUACACUUCCAAGUACUUUGUUUCUUUACAGCUACCAAAACAUGCUUUAGUCCUUUUCUUGAUCUUAUUUUUCAUUCCACUGCAUCAGGUUAUCCCUCAAGAUGUUGUUGAGUCACUAUUCACAGCUUGUAAAUCUGGUGAUUUUGAUGUGGCAAACAAAGAAGUAACUAGAAUCAUCGCAGAGGGAUACCCAGUUUCACAGUUGAUCUGCCAGGUUAUUUUCCGUCCGGUUUUUUAUUUAUCAUAUAAGAAUGACCUGUACUAAGCUUUGAAUUGAGGUCUGUUUUCAGUUGUUAGAGGUGAUUGUUAAUGCCGAAGACAUACAAGAUGAGCAAAAGGCAAGAAUUUGUAAAAAACUGGGUGAAGCAGAUAAGGUUUGUUUGCUUCUGAGUUCUUAAUUCCAUGUAUUUGACACACCUUUGUAGUUUUUUCUUUUUUUUUUAUCUCCUUGUAGUAUUUUCUUUUUCUUUUUUUAAGCAUAUUUAUGGACAGAUUUGAUAAUUUUUACUAUAUGGAGCCAUUAAAAAAAUAUCACAUAGGUAAUCACUGUUGCAUAAAGCAGCAGUUUAUGAAUGGAAUAUUAGCGUCACGGUCUUGCGUUUUUUGUAUUAGGUUUUAUUUUCUACUCCCUUUUUUGUAUGUUUACAUUGUGCAGGUCUAUGUAGAACCAUGCUUAUACAAUUCUCUCCUCUGACUUUUCAGUGCUUGGUCGAUGGAGCGGAUGAGUAUUUGCAGCUGAUGGAUGUGGCGAGUCAUACAAUGCGAGCGCUCUGCAACAUGCAACAAGAAUUGUGCUUUAGCUAGUUAAUUUACAGCCAGAAAAUAGAGCAGUCAAAGCUAAAAUAUUCACCCAUGUUUAACCUGAUGCUUAUCACUGUGCCCUAAAUCUCAGCUGCUUUAAGAAGCAAUUUUCUUGCAUAUCUCUCUCUCUGUUUCUCGUACUGCUAAUUUAUUGGCCACAUUAUGAAUUAUUAACAGGUGGGUUAUUAUGUUCCAACUAUCGACAGUUCAUUUGAGCAUGAUUGGAAGGGUUUGAUGAAGAAUUUUCUCUUUUUUUUAUUCUUCAUAGUAAAUUACGGGCGAGCAAGAAUGUGCCCAUCGGUUUCCUACGCGGAAAUCUUAGAAUGGCACGUUUAUAUGGGCUGAGUAUCUUCCUCAUAACUCGUUAGGAUGUUUUUUCACUGUAUGAUAAUUAAUUGCUGACUAAGGAAAGAAAGUUUUAAAUUUUAGAAGAAAGGAAAGAUAUUAUAGUUGGAAAGUAGCUCAAGCUGUGAUUUAUGAUCUUACACCGGUGAAACGAGGAAAUUUGAUUAUCUAAUUUAAACCUUUCCCCAUUUUUCGGAGGGGGAUCAAUCAUAGAGAAGGUUUUAAUUGUUUGAUAUUUUGUCUGAUAUGUUCUCUUUUUCUAAUUGUUAGGAACUUAGGAUCGUUGGAUCUCUUAUUGCCAAAUAAUAGGUUUUUGGCAAGAAGAAUGAGCUUUCAUAUCAAUUUAAACUUUUCUUUUUGGAGAAUUCAAUUUAAACACUUUUUGGUGUCGUUAUUAUUCAUUCUUUAUUACCUACACUGCCUUGUGAGUCGGACAAGUGAUAUCUAAUGAUGAUCAAGGAUUGAUCUGUUGCGUUGAUAUUGUUUCAUAGUAUUUAUCUUGCAGAUGUGGAUGCAAGUUUUUCCCGGAUCGGGUGCACCAGAGUAAGCUUAAAUCACCAACAGUGAAAAUCAAAUUUGUCUUUAGGUUAAUAGCGCAUCCCAUUGUUUUUUUUUUUUUUUUUUAAUUGAAAACUAUUUAUUAAUCUAAGAUGAUUAAAUGAAAAGUAUUAAUUUUGAACUGGAUAUGUCGCACAAACCCUUAAAAAAGCAAACGAUUUAAUUUGGGUAGAUUGUAGGUGCCGUGUUGAAGAUCAGCUGCUUUGCUUAUUUACCAUGGGUGGACUCGCGCGCGGGACGAGCUCGCAUCGCACCCUCUCUCUCUCUCUCUCUCUCUCUCUCUCUCUCUCUCUCUCUCUCUAUAUAUAUAUAUAUAUAUAUAUAUAUAGAGCUAGGCNUCUCUCUCUCUCUCUCUCUCUCUCUCUCUCUCUCUCGUGUCGGGUGUCGCCCCCGCCACCCCCCCUUCUAAGUUCUACCUUUCUCGCUGAGCUCUCCCUCCCCUGAGCUUCUUCCUCCCUCUUCCGAAGACACCAUGCCGAGAAAAACCCCGCUUCCUCGCCCUCCUCCCGACUCCUCCACCAUGUCCCCUGCUUCCCCCGCCCUCCCCUCCUCAGGUACCUUCUCCUCUCCCCACUUGCUCCCCCGCCCCUUCUCCUCCUCUCCUCUCUCUCUCACUCCUAGGGUUUCCUUCGCCGCAGACUCCCGCCUCAAAUGGCGGAAGCGGAAGCGCGAGGCCAACGCUAAGCGCUCCAAGCCCCAGGGCGACUCCGACGACGACGCUGCAGCCGCCGCCGACCCCGUCCUCGACCUCCGCGAGUCCGAAGUCCUCUCCGACUGCGGACACCAGAUUUCCGACUUCCCCCCCGCCGUGCGCCGCGCCGUGAACCGCCCUCACCCCUCCGUCCUCGCCAUCGUCGCCGCCGAGCGCUCCUCCUCCUCCUUCUUCUCCUCGUCCCCUUCCUCUUCCGCCCGAUCUUUGGUUCCGUCCCUUGAGAACAUCUCCCAUGGCCAGCUCCAAGCCCUCUCCGCUAUGCUCCCCGACCACCCUUCCCUUCUCCAACCCCCCGAUGUUGACAAGCCCUCUUCCUACGUGUGCACUCCGCCGCCCCUCAUGGAAGGGAAGGGCGUCCCCAAGCGCUUCCCCACUGGCCAAGUCCUCCUCGUUCCCAUGCACUCCGGUCCGUCUCCUCCCCUCUCCUUUCUCAAGAAUUUUUCCUUUAUGACCUAAAGUUCCCAUCUUUGCCGUCUUACAGAUUGGUUCUCCCCGACAACUGUCUACCGGCUGGAGCGGCAGGUGGUGCCGCACUUCUUCUCAGGGAAGUCCAGUGGCCACACCCCGGAGAAGUACAUCAUGCUCCGUAACAAGAUCAUACUGAAGUACCUGGACAAUCCUAGCAGGAGGCUAGGGUUUGCAGAUUGCCAGGGGCUGGUGUCGAGCAACAGCGAGCUCUAUGACCUCAGCCGCAUUGUACGGUUCCUUGACAAUUGGGGGAUCAUUAAUUAUCUUACGACUCUUUCUGUGCAUCGCGGGCUCAGGAUGGCAGCUUCUCUGCUUAGGGAGGAUGGUAGUGGGGAGCUUCAGCUUCUGACGGCCCCAUUGAAGUCUAUUGAUAGUUUGAUGUUGUUUGAUAGGCCAAAGUGCAGCUUGAGAGCAGAGGAUGUUGCUUUGCUAUCUUCUUCUUCGUCUUCUUCUUCUAGUGGGCCUGUGGACUUGGAUGCUGGACUUUGUGAUUUGGAUAGUCGGAUAAGAGAGCGACUAUCGGAACUUUCUUGCAGUUACUGCUCAGAGCCUCUGCCCAACUUACAUUAUCAGUCGCAGAGGGAGGUGGGCAACCUUUGCACUUUUAUGCUUCACCUUCAAAUAAAUAUUUAUACUAGUUAAUGCUGACAUAGUAACAUGGAAAGUUAUUAUCUUUGAUUUCCUUAGUGGCAUUAUGCUCUUGUCAGAUAUGUUUGAGUGUCUAUAAUUGUUAUAUUUAGAUGAUGUAGCUGAUUCCAUGUUGAGUAUCGCCCAGCCACCCACCAUUGUUUAUUCUCUCCUCCCAUUGUUUUCCAUAUAAUUACUUCGUAAGGCAAUUCCUUUACCCUGUUUCACCUCUUCUUUGAUGCUUCCAGUUCUUCCUUUUGAACCCUCUGCACUUAGCAUUCUUUUAAACCUUAGGAAGUAAUGGAUUCUCUUACACAAUUUGAUAUAAUCAUAGAGUGGUUGUGCAUUUUCUUUAUUCUUUGAUUGUCCACAAUUAGCACAUCAUAAUAUGCUUCUUUUCGACUGUACGAACAGGCGGAUAUCGUCCUUUGCUCCGAUUGCUUCCAUGAUGCGAAAUAUAUUACUGGGCACUCAAGUUUAGAUUUUGUGAGAGUGGAUACAAAGAGAGACACAUCAGAUUCUGACGGGGAUAACUGGACUGAUCAGGAAACAUUGCUGCUACUAGAGGCCUUAGAAAAGUAUAAUGAUAACUGGAAUGAAAUUGCUGAACACGUCGGCACCAAGUCAAAGGCACAAUGUAUACUUCAUUUUAUUCGUCUUCCAAUGGAGGAUGGUUUGUUGGAGAACAUUGGAUUUCGACAGUUGCCUGUCCCUUCGAAAGGACAACAUAGAGAAAAUCUGUCCACAAUUUCUAAUAGUGAUACCUCAGGUUAUUAGGCUUUCUUCAUCUUAGCAAGCUGAUCGACUUUGCUUUUCAUCUGUGCUAGUUCUUUAUCACUUAUUCUCUCUUAUCAAUUUUCAGGUGUUCAUUCAGGGAACCAACUUCCUUUUGCUGAUUCUGCUAAUCCAGUAAUGUCCCUGGUGAGUAAUUAUGAUAGCGCGUUAUCAUUUUGUUUUUUUCCAUUUAGAAAAUGAGUUAAGGAUAUAAUUAUAUGCAAAUAUCAACACAGAUAAGUGAUGCAUUCUUGAAUCAACUAUACUUAGGCUUAUGACAAUACUUGGUGCAUCUUUGUCGAAACUAAACUAAGCUGAAAAAAAUGAUAUGUCAGCCUCUCAUUCUUCAUUGUUUGGGAUAUGAAAAAAAAAGAAGAAAAAAAGUGCUUUACGGACUGCAGUUAGCAAUAAUCUUUUUGUGGACGUUAGGAAAUCAAUCCAGGUUAAUGACUAGCGGACCUCAAAAGUAAAUGACAUAAGGCCAAGUAAACAUCCCGGAUAAUGACUGAUUACUCAGGUUAAGGUACAGAAACUACCUGAAAAGGUUAACAAGAUGUUUGCUUUUCUAAGUAUUAAGUAGUCUAAAUGCUGCCAAUGAGAAACUUUACGGUUCUACCUGCCACAUGCCGACUUAACUGCGCCAGUUACUUCGACUGAUGUUGGAAUAUCUGUAGUGAAAUUUGGGCAGUUGAAGACACUUAUUUAUUACAGAGUCUACGCAGCUUAACCUUCUGGUCUACUCUAUAAUUCUAUUACAUAACAUAAUAGGGUUGUCAAAACUGAAAGAACAAUGUAGCUUUAAUUAAAUAUAUGUGUCUUUCUUAGAGGUGAAACCAACAUCAUGUCUUGCCAUAUUCUUAUGAUUUCUCAGAGAUAAUGCAGCAUACAUCUGACAUUGGUGACACACUAACAGUGUGUGUGAAGUAGUGAACUAUGUCAUGCUAUUGGAAGCUUUUGUUCAGUAGAUCACGUACAUCUGCCCUAUGAAUCUGAAGUUGCAUUUCAGUCAUAUAGGUGGUUUUUAAAAGUUUGCUGCUUAAUGUUUUCAGCUGAGUCUUUUUAAUUGGAUCUUCGGGUGGAAGGUCAAUAAUCAAUAGCUUGUGCGAUUUGAAUACUUUUCCCGUUUUACAUUAAAGAGGAGUUUCGCAGGUUGCCUUUUUGACCUCUGCAAUUGGACCAAGAGUUGCUGCAGCUUGUGCAAAUGCUGCAUUAUCUGUGCUGACUAAAGGUGAUUCCAGGUUAGAUAAAUUCUUCUACUGAUGGCAGAGUAUUGCAAUAUAUUCCUAUGGUUGAUUUCUUCCUCUGAAUUCAUGUUAAAGUUACUUGUGUUUAUAAAUACUGCAUAUCAAGAUUCUGCAGUAUCACUCUAUCUCUUACACUUCCACACCCUUUUUUUGUUCAUUUUGAUUUUUUUUUUGUAGUAAAUUCUUCAUAAACUUGACAGUUGUAGUUUUAUGCGGAGAGUGUUCUUUGUAAACCAUUCCUGUACUUGAGUUUUCAAUGAAGGGAAUAAUCGUUUUCUUCAUCAUUGUAAAUUAAGGUCGAGCUCUGAGAGCAAUCAUGCGGAAGCUGUUACUCAUGGGGCUAACGCAAAUUCAUGCAAUCAGAAUGGUAAUUGCUGUUUCUAAUUUCUUCAUUGGUUUUCCACACCACAAGAUUUCUUUUUAUUUUUCAAGUGUUCUUUUAUCUGAUCUCAGAUGGAAAUCCAGAAGAUCAAAUACCUUAUUCUAGAGGAGAUGCCAAUUCUCCUCUUUCUCUGGAACGUGUAAAAUACGCAGCAAUGUGUGGUCUAUCUGCAGCUGCUAUGAAGGCGAAACUGUUUGCAGACCAAGAAGAGCGUGAAAUUCAGAGACUGGCCGCGACUAUUAUAAAUCAUCAGGUUUUGUAUCCUACCUACUGACUUUCAGAGGAAAGAUCAUUUCUCAUAUACUGAAUUUGUUUGGCAUAUUAUUAGUAUCUAUCAGUUUGGAUAAUUAUUUAUCACAAAUUCUACAGAAAUCUUAAUUCUAAUAUUUAUCGCCUUUAUAUGGUAGAUACAAAUGACCAAAUGACUUGAAUAAUGCACAAUAGAUAAUGAACAAAUGGAGGAAAUUCUUGGAAUAAAAUACCUACCUCUCUUGGCAAUCCAGCUUUCUCUUUCGGCAGUAAACUUUUCACCUUCUACCAAUAUAUUUGAAAUUUGCUUCUCUAUAGAAAUAUUUGCUUAUUAUACCCAUAAUAUUCGUGCUUAGAAUCUUUAUUCAAUUGAUUUGACAUUUUAGGCCUAUAAUCAGUAUUAUCUUCCUUUUUUUUCCCCCUUUUUCCACAAAAGUAUGAACUCUAGUUAGGAGGUAAUCUAUUACUAAGCAUCAUCGACAAGUUGGUUUCUAUGGGAACUUUUUUAAUUAUGACUGUGCUAUCUACUUCAAGCACAUGGAGUAAAAGAGGUUCUAAGCUAUAAAUGAUUAUUAAUUCCAAUUUCACAUCAUCUAUGAUGGUGUCUAAUCACUGUCUCUAAACCAUAUGCAGUUAAAGAGGUUGGAGUUAAAGCUGAAGCAGUUUGCUGAGGUGGAAACCCUGCUGCUGAAGGAAUGCGAUCAGGUAGAGAGAGUGAGGCAAAGGCUUUCUGCUGAACGGGUGCGAAUGAUGUCAGCCCGCUCUGGAUUUCCAGGAAGCGCUUUUCCACCACAACAACCAGCAGCAGCUGCGGCAGCAGCAGGUGCUGCAAAUUCAAAUCCUAAUCCUCAUCCUCGACAGCCACCUAUACCCGGUUCAGUCGGACCGACUAACAUUCCAAAUCCUUAUGGCAAUAAUCUAGCUGGACAUUCUCCAAUCCAAUUCAUGCAGCGACAACAAAUGCUUUCUUUCGGACCCCGCUUACCUCUCUCGGCAAUCCAGCCAUCGCCCUCGGCCUCUUCACCCAAUGUUAUGUUUAAUUCCGGCAUGCCUGCUAAUUCCAUGAACCCUAAUCACCAUCCACUAUUGAGAUCUGCAUCUGGGAACAAUUCAAAUGUUAGUUAGCAUGAAAGAACUGUUGAAUUGUAUUAAAUUUUUUUAGUGGCCCAUUUGUAAUGUAAUUGCACCAUAGUUGGUGAUUUUAGAAAUAUAAUUAGUUGGAAGUUUGUAACCAUGUUCUUUUGGUUAUCUAGGUAGAAAAAUUAGAUGAGCAACUUGAUGGUGCACUUUUAUGGCUGGGCAGUUGAGAAAGUUUUACAAUAAUGUCACAGGUGAUUGAUAAAGUGAUAGAUCCCUAAAUAAAACAGCUCAUUGUAGCUCAUUUCAAGAUCAAGCAGGGAUUGAUACUUAAAUUAUUAAUAGGAAGAAAAGAAAAAAGAAAGAGCCCAACUUACCGGGGUGGCUUGCUGUGGCUUAUUUCUGGCCACAUGAUGAGCCAACUAAAUCAUGUGGGGUUCAACUACUUGAACAGUUGAACAAUAAUAAUUGUUGCUUAUUUCAUAGGCAAUAUAUAUAUAUAUAUAUAUAUAUAUAUAUAUUUUAAUCCUGGAUCUAACCUGAGAUGGUGAUUUAGUUGUUCUUUGAUUGAACUUGCUCAGGGAAAAAUUUGUGUGUGGACCAUCGCAUUAGAAUGCAUGACAAACUAGUGCCUUAAGAACAUUAAUGAGGUUAACGUGGCAGAAACCAAGUUGGUCGUACUACCUAAAACGGAGAGUAAUAGAAUUCAAAUCCAAGGUGUGUAAAACAACUCCAUACAUAUUUUUCUACUGUUAAAAUCGAUGUUUAAUCCACAGUUUGGAUUUUGCUGAACCACAAAAAAAAAAAAAGAAUUACUUACAGUAGAAUAAAUGACCACUAUAGCAUAAAAAUGACCUUAUGCCAUAAUCUCAUGAAAAACAGUUUAUAAAUUUGAAUUUCUAGCAUGCUUAAUAGUCUUCAAUUUAAACUUCUGUAUGUCCUAGAUUGGAAGUGCAUUGCUAAAAGUGGUUCAUUUUGAUUCUUUAGAAAGUUCAAAAAAUUUCGAAAUAGCUUUGAACUUCUCACUUGAGAUAUAAUAAAAUCACGACGAUGCGAACCGUUACAAAAAUACAUUUCUUGUAACAAUUUUUACCACUUACAUAUAAAAUUGAGAAAGAAAAGUUUAAAGUGCUUUGAUAUUUAAUGGAUGUUCUAAAAAAUAUAAAGUUGGUACAAUUGCAGAAGAUGAGUACUAUAUGAUUUAUAUUUAAGCUUAGUGUUUCGAAAAAUGACGAAAUCGAGUGUGUUGGAUUGCGGACCCUUCGUCGUGAUUUGUGAUCUUACAGUCAAAAGAUUAGGGCAACGGAGCUCCACAGCAAAGGUGUAAAAAUAAAGAGGAAAAUGAUGCGACAACGCAAACGCUUUCUAAAAUAAUCAGCCAAAAUCAAUUCUCCUUCUCUGAACAUAUAGCAUCAAAAUAUCCAUCAAAACCACUUCAAUCUCUGUGGGUGUAGGUUGUUAAGGAGACAAAAUCAGGGUGGCACAUGAUUAUGAUUUACUAAUUCACUAGGUUUCACGUAAUUUAAUUAGAUAAAAAAAUAUUAAGAGGAAGGUUUUUGAAUUUACAGUGUGUUCUUAGGGGCCACCACGUUUUUCAAUCAUGCAGUACACUAAAAAAAAAAAAAAAAAGUUUAUGUUGCAGCAGUUAUAGUUAAUAUUUUUUACUGUCUCGCCAAAUAUACCAGAAAAUUUAGGAGAAAUUGAAUACAUCAUAUUUUCUAUUAAAUUUUUUGCAAUUCAUGGGGUCAAAUUGAAUAAUGCUAUACUCGUGGACUAACCAUUGUUCGAGUCAACCAAUCAUUCACUCUCCCCCAAUUAAACACCCUAGAAACUAUAAUUUACUUGGACUAUUUUUUUUAUGAAGAUUUUUUAUCGAUGUUAUUGGAAAACAAUACAAGAGGAUCAGAUCCAAGAAACGUGAAGUUCCUUUUUUUCUUUUUUCUUUUUUUUUGAGAAAACGUGAAGUUCCCAUGUGAUGGAAUAGUAGGUUCUGGUUAUUGUUUUUCGUACGUGUGCGCAUAAUGCCGCGAAAUUUAAAGCUACUCUACUCACGUGUCAUAUUAUCCAAUACAAAAAACUGAAGAGCAAUAUUUUGCAAUACUUUACUUUAUGUGAUUACAACAUUAAGAUCUCAUGACGAACUUAGCGUAGUUGGCUAAAAAUUUAAUAAUUAGGAUUUGAAGUUCUAAAUAUAAAAUUCUAGCUGAGUUUAUUUUUAGAAAAUAAAUAAAACGGGUAAAAAUAUUAACUUAGGUGAUUUGAGUGAUUUUAAUGUGUUUAUGGACCUCUUUUUCAUUAUUAUAAGGUGCCAAUUUAGGUUCCCUUCUCUUGCGUCCUAAGCAUUUAACCCAUGCAAUACCAAUUUUGUAUUUUAUACUAGCUAUAUCAUCAAAAAAAGAAAAACUAUUAUAACUAAAAAAGUGUUUCCAGUUAAAAUUUUACUGAUUUAACCAUUAUUUAAUAAUUGUUUCUUUUUACUGAAUCAGAGCGAAAAUUGAUUUGCAGUCUAACAAGUCCAACCACAACAGUUCAACCAUUUUUUUAACAUUAUUUUUAUAUAAAAACUUUGAAAGAAUUUGCUCUUUAUUAAACAUAAAACUGAAAUGAAAAAUUUUAAAAGGGCUAAGUCGCAGUGUGGAAUGGUACCGGGAUUAUUCACGCAUUGUUGUUAUAUAUCAUUCCUUUUUUAUAAAAUAAAUAUAAAAAAUACUUAACAAAAAGCGGGCUAUGUGUGAAAAAAAAAAAAUUUAGGGGGCCAAAUACAAAAAAAAACCCUACGUAAAAGGAAAAAAGUCCCGAGUCGCAAUAUGCGAGUAGUAUCGGAUUAUCCUCGCAUUUUUCCCUAACUCUUUUCCUCAGCCCUGCUCUUCACUGUUCGAUACCCUCUCUCUCUCUAGAGAGCAUAAGGAAGAGAGAGAGAGAGAGAGAGAGGAAACUGUAAUAAAAGUGUCGAGGAGAGAGAAGGUGAAAGGACGUCCGAAGCCCAUGCGCGCUCUCUCUCUCUCUCUCUCUCUCUACCCUCUUCGUCAUCGUGCCGCAUUGAUGCGGAUUUUUUAGGUAAAUCCACACAGAUCUCACUCAAUUUCAAUGCCUAUAUAAUGAUCUUUUUCGUUUCCCCAAUUUUUUGUGAUCUUUAUUUAGUGUGAAUGCUGACCGAUUCUUUGUGCCAAUGUUGAUCUUUUGCCUUUUGAUUUCUAUCUAAUUUUACUGUUAUUUUUGCUGUUUGUCGGUGAUCUUUGAGAUCGCGUUUUGAGUGGAUUCACAUUUUGUAUGUAGGUGGAGAUCUGAUGUGAUUCGCACUCUGAUCUUGGUUUUCUGAUCUGAUAGUUAGUGAUCCGAUCUAUCUCACAAUAGGGUUUAUAGGUCUGAUCCGUGAGCUUCGUUGGAUAAUUUGCGAGGAGGAGGAAGAGGAAUUAACGUUCUGCUCUCAAAGUUUAGCUAUUUCCAUUAUCUUUGGAGGGUAAGGUUUAUGCAGAUUUAUCCUGUUUCAAUCUAUCCUAUAAUUUGGUAAACUAAAAAGUGCUUACUUUUUUCUUGCUCUUGCUCCUUUUCACCAGUCACUUAAUUUUAGGGAUUUAGAUCUGUUAUUUCAUGUCCAAAACUUUCAACAUCGUAGAUAUUUUUGUUGGCAGCUGAAGUAAUAUUUCAUAUUGUUCAGAUAGAUCGUGCUUAUAUGCAGAUACAAACCUGUGGAGGUGAUAAUUAGUAAGCAAUGGCGGAUUUUUCCUCAUCGGAACCACAAGAACCGGCGUCACCUUCUUCUCCAUCAUCUUCUCAUUCACGGUAUCUCACACAUUUAUACAUAUUUACUUCCCAUAUAUAUUACUUAAUAUAUUACUUAAUAUCUAGCGUGUACAAUCACUUCCCAUCUUUGUUUUAACUCUUUGGCAACUGGAUGUAUUUGAUUGUUGGGUAUUAAUGACUCGUAAUUCUCACCUCGGUUUUACAUUUAAUUAGAGAAACAAAUGGAUCGGCGGAAACGGAUGACUCAGAAAGCGCAAUGGCCACCGUCGCUCACUUGUUGGAACAGCUUCAUGCUAGCAUGUCUUCUCCACUCGAGAAAGAGCUUAUAACCACAAGGCUGCUCGCACUAGCAAGAGCAAAAAAGGAAACUAAGGUUUUAAUCGGCAGCCAUUCUCAGGCCAUGCCACUGUUCAUCUCUGUUCUUAGAAGUGGAACUGUAACCGCAAAAGUCAACGUUGCUUUGACCCUCAGUACACUCUGCAAGGAAGAAGACCUACGCGUGAAGGUUCUUCUUGGCGGUUGCAUACCGCCAUUAUUAUCUCUUUUAAAGUCAGAAUCCCUCAAUGCCAAAAAAGCCGCUGCAGAAGCUAUAUUUGAAGUUUCCUCUUCUGGGUUUUCGGACGAUCACAUUGGCAUGAAAAUAUUUGUUACCGAGGGUGUUGUGCCUACUUUAUGGGACCUCCUUAACCCAAAAAAUAGACAGGAUAGAGUAGUUGAGGGUUUUGUCACUGGAGCGCUGAGAAAUCUUUGUGGGGAGAAGGAUGGGUAUUGGAGGGCCACAAUCGAAGCUGGGGGUGUCGAGAUCAUUACUGGUCUUCUUUCUUCAAACAAUACUGCUGCCCAAUCAAAUGCUGCUUCCCUUUUGGCCCGGUUGAUUUCGGCUUUUGGCGAUAGCAUUCCUAAAUUAAUAGAUACAGGAGCCGUAAAAGCCCUUCUUGGCCUUUUGGGUCGAGAUAAUGAUAUUUCUGUGCGCGCGAGUGCUGCUGAUGCUUUGGAAGCCCUUUCAUCGAAGUCCACCAUGGCUAAGAAAACUGUAGUUGAUGCAGGUGGCUUACCUGUUCUGAUCGGAGCUGUUGUGGCUCCUUCAAAGGAGUGUAUGCAAGGGGAGUCUUGCCAUGGUUUACAGAGCCAUGCAGUUCGUGCUCUAGCUAAUAUGUGUGGCGGUAUGACUUCUUUGAUACUUUACCUUGGAGAACUCUCCCAGUCCUCGCGCUUAAAUGCUCCUGUUGCUGAUAUACUUGGUGCCCUUGCUUAUUCACUAAUGGUUUUUGAUGGCGAUGAAGAGAAAGUGUUCGACCCAGUUAAUAUAGAGAAUAUCUUGAUAACACUACUAAAACCGCGGGAUAUUAAGUUGGUUCAGGAUCGUGUUCUUGAGGCUUUGGCCAGCCUCUAUGGCAAUCCUUGUCUAUUCAGCAGGCUUCAUCAUUCUGCUGCAAAAAAGGUUCUAAUUGGGCUUAUUACGAUGGCUUCGGCUGAUGUUCAGGAGCACUUAAUACUAUCCCUCACAAGCUUAUGUUGUGACAACGUUGAUAUAUGGGAUGCUUUAGGGAAGAGAGAGGGAAUUCAUCUGCUUAUUUCUUUGCUCGGGCUUUCGAGUGAGCAGCAUCAGGAGUAUGCUGUUUCUUUGUUGGCAAUUUUAACUGAUCAAGUAGAUGAAAGCAAGUGGGCCGUAACAGCUGCUGGAGGAAUCCCUCCGCUGGUUCAAUUAUUGGAAACCGGGUCGCAGAAAGCAAGGGAAGACGGGGCCCACGUGCUGUGGAACUUGUGCCAUCACAGCGACGACAUUCGUGCGUGUGUUGAGAGUGCUGGGGCCGUCCCCGCCCUUCUAUGGCUUCUAAAGAGCGGCAGUCCCAAAGGUCAAGAGGCUUCUGCAAAAGCACUUAAGAAGCUGAUCCAUUUUGCCGACUCUGCUACCAUCAAUCAGUUACUGGCCUUGCUCCUAAGCGACUCUCUCAGUUCAAAGUCCCAUGUUAUCAAUGUCUUGGGUCAUGUGCUUAUGAUGGCUUCUCAUAAAGACUUGGUGCAGAAGGGAGCUCCUGCCAAUAAAGGUCUUAGGUCUCUUGCCCAAGCCCUUAACUCAUCUAAUGAGGAGACACAAGAGUGUGCUGCAUCAGUUUUAGCUGAUCUAUUUAGUACACGAGAAGAUAUAUGUGAUAGUCUUGCCACUGAUGAGAUUGUCCAUCCAUGCAUGAAGCUCCUGACAAGCAAAACCCAAGUUGUGGCGACACAAUCUGCACGAGCUUUGGGUGCUCUAUCCCGUCCAGCAAAUGCUAAAUCCAAGAAUAAGGUAUCCUACAUUGGUGAGGGGGAUGUUCAACCCCUAAUUAAGAUGGCGAAGACAUCGUCAAUCGAUGCUGCUGAAACUGCGAUUGCUGCGUUGGCGAACCUCCUCUCAGAUCCACAGAUUGCUGGAGAAGCUCUAACCGAAGAAAUUGUCUUGUCCCUAACAAGAGUGCUUAAGGAAGGCACUUUAGAGGGCAAAAUAAGUUCUUCUCGGGCACUUCAUCAACUACUGAACCAUUUCCCACUCUGUGAAGUGCUUCCAGAGUACUCACAGUGUCGCUUCGUAGUUCGUGCUCUUUUGGAUUCUUUAGCUGAAAUGGAUGUUGAAGGUGUUGUAUACUUGGGCCCACUGGAUGUACUUGCCUUAUUGGCUAGCACAAAAGAGAGCGUGAAUUUUGGCUUCCCUCCCUGGAGUGCCCUUGCUGAAGACCCAGAAAGUUUACAGCCUUUGUUUCGGUGUCUGGAUGUUGGGCUUCCUAUUGUGCAAGAAAAGUCGAUCGAAAUUCUCUCAAGGCUAUGCCAGGAAAAACCUUCUCUACUUGGUGAUUUUUUGGUAAGAAGAGAAGGGUGUAUUGUUUCACUUGCUACUAGAGUUAUAGAGUCCUCUAGUAUAGCUGUGAGAAUUGGUGGGGCCGCACUUCUCAUUUGUGCUGUGAAGGAGAAUAGAGUACGUCCAAUCGAUAUUCUUGAUGCAUCAGGGCUUUUGAGGAAGCUGAUCUAUUGUCUGAUUGAUAUGUUGAAACUUCAUUCUACUUCCAGUUCUCCAGAAUCUGAAGUCAGGAAUCCUAGAAAUUAUAUGGAAAGAAAUGCAUUUGAUGAUUCUGACAUUCAUGAUCCAGCAAGAAUUUUGGAAGGAACAAUUGCUCUUUGGUUGCUUGCGAUUGUUUCUUCUUCUCAGGUGGAGAGCAAACUUAUUAUUAUGGAGGCUGGUGGAGUUGAGAUUCUCUCUGAUAGACUUGCAAGAUACACAGCUAAUUCACAGGUAUGAGUUUAUCGCUUUGUGCUUUCUCUUUUUUCUCUUGUUUCAUUUACAUUUUUGGUUGCAGUAAAUGGUCAUUUAUUUUAGGAUGAUUUUGCAAUACCUGCACAAUCAGUCGUAAUUUUUUCCCCACUUAAAUUUGGACAAUUUUGAGAUUUUUGAUAAAUUCUUAUCUAAUUCAGGUUCACUGAUGUAGCUUCCAUAGAUAUAUACAUCAAAUUUAUUCACUGUUACAGCUUCUGUAGAUUAAAUCAGCAUUUCUCAUAUUAAUUAUUGUCUUUACCUCACAAUCUUUUUAGUUUGUAUCUAAUGUGUAAAUGAUUUCUUUAAUAUAGGCGGAAUUUGAAGGGACAGAGGGGAUAUGGCCUAGUGCACUUCUCCUGGCUAUUUUGUUCCAGGAUUCAACAGUUGUUCAAUCUUCAUUGAUAACCCGGACAAUACCAUCUCUAGUUUUCUUGCUGAAGUCGGAUGACAUCAUUGAUAGAUACUUUGCUGCUCAGGUGAUGGCUAGCCUUGUUUGUGUAGGAAAUAAAGGAAUACAGCUUGCUAUUGCAAAUUCCGGUGCUGUUGGGGGCAUAAUAUCAUUAAUCGGGCAGAUAGAAUCUGAUAUGCCUAACCUUGCUGCUUUAUCUGAAGAACUAAAAUUAGCACAAAAUCCAGGCCAAGUAAUUAUGGAAAAUCUCUUCAAGCUUGAGGAAGUGAGAACAGGUGCUACCGCGCGCAAGUCCUUACCUUUACUUGUGGACCUUCUUAGACCGAUGCCUGAUAGACCAGGUGCCCCGUUAAUCGCGCUACACCUUCUGACACACCUAGCAGAAGGUAGUGAAACAAAUAAAGUAGUAAUGGCAGAAGCUGGCGCUGUGGAUGCUUUAACAAAAUACCUCUCUUUGAGCCCUCAAGACUCAACCGAAACUACUAUAACUGAUCUGUUAUGGAUCCUGUACAGCAAUUCUGAACUCCUUCACAGUGAAGCUUCUCUCAGCACUUUGAAUCAGCUAAUUGCUGUUUUAAGAAUGGGCUCAAGAAAUGCUAGGCUUAGUGCGGCGAGGACUUUGAAGGAGCUUUUCAAUUCGGAGAAUAUACGAGAAACUGAAAUGGCUAGACAAGCUAUUCAACCAUUAGUCGACAUGCUGAAUUCAGGAAAUGAAAAGGAACAAGAGGCUGCACUCAGUGCAUUGAUCAAACUCACAGAUGGAAAUAUUUCGAAGGCCUCAGCAUUGACCGAUGUUGAAGGUAACCCAAUUGAAACUCUCCACAAGAUUUUGUCAUUCAGUUCGUCUUUGGCCCUGAAAAGAGAUGCUGCCCAACUUUGCUAUGUUCUAUUUGGAAAUUCGAGUGUGAGGACAGCACCAAUUGCCACAGAAUGUAUACAACCCUUAAUAUCACUAAUGACAUCGGAUUCGAGCUUGGUUGUAGAGCCUUCUGUUUGUGCUCUAGAGAGGCUGCUUGAUGAUGAACACCAUGCAGAUAUAGCGGCUACUUAUGAAGUUAUAACUCUUCUUGUUAGCUUUGUUUCGAAGAUGAAUCAUAACUUAUCAGAGCCCAGUAUAAGUGCCCUAAUAAAGCUAGGGAAGGAUCGUCCGCACUGCAAACUUGACAUGGUGAAGGCUGGAGUUAUCGAUAAUGCCCUGAAUAUGAUCCUUGAUGCUCCUGUGUCUCUUAGCUCUUCAAUCAUAGAGCUUCUUCGAAUUCUAACUAAUAAUAGCAGCAUUGCAAAAAGUUCGGCUGCUGCAGGAAUGGUAGAGCCUCUGUUCUUGGUUCUCCAGAGACCAGACAUUCCCAUGUGGGGGCAGCACAGCGCAUUAGAAGCACUUGUAAAUAUUCUGGAAAAGCCCCAAAGUUUGGCGAAUUUGAAAUUAAGUCCUAGCCAAGUCAUCAAGCCUUUGAUUUCAUUUCUUGAAUCCCCAUCUCAAGCAAUUCAGCAGCUUGGCACCGAAGUACUAUUGCAUCUUCUUGAACAAGAGCAUUUCCAACAGGAUAUUACAACCAAACAUGCCGUAGUUCCUCUCGUGCAGCUCGCGGGGAUCGGUAUCUUGAGCCUACAGCAAAUGGCGAUCAAAGCGCUUGAGAGCAUUUCGAUGAGCUGGCCAAAGGCUGUAGCUGAGGCAGGGGGCAUUUUUGAACUCUCAAAGGUGAUUGUCCAGGAUGAUCCCCAGCCCAGCCAUGCAUUAUGGGAGUCUGCAGCACUUGUUCUAUCCAACGUUAUGCGGUCUUAUUCCGAAAAUUAUUUUGAAGUUUCGAUGGUGGUGCUCGUGAAAUUGCUGAAUUCCACGGCAGAGAGCACUGUUAACAUAGCUCUCGGUGCCCUCCUUGUUCAAGAGAGGAAUAGUAAGAGCAGUGCUAUAUCAAUGGCCGAGGCAGGUGCGAUCGAUGCACUGUUAGAGCUUUUAAGAUCUCGUCAGUGUGAGGAAGCUUCUGCAAGAUUGCUCGAAGCACUUUUUAACAAUGGGAGGGUGCGAGAAAUGAAGGUUGCAAAAUACGCGAUCGCCCCCCUUUCACAAUACUUAUUAGAUCCACAGUCCAGGUCGCCACCAGCUAAGUUUCUGGUGACUCUCGCGCUAGGCAACCUUUUCCAGCAUGAUUCACUUGCUAGGUCAAGUGAUGCUGUCUCUGCAUGCCGUGCUUUGAUAAGCCUGCUUGAGGAUCAACCCACAGAAGAGAUGACUGUGGUGGCAAUCUGUGCUUUACAGAGUUUGGUUAUGCACAGUAGAACAAAUAGGCGGGCGGUAGCAGAAGCUGGUGGAAUUCUGGUCGUACAGGAAUUGCUUUUGUCUUCCAAUGUGGAAGUUUCUGGGCAGGCUGCAUUGUUGAUCAAGUAUCUAUUUUCAAAUCAUACACUUCAAGAGUAUGUAUCAAACGAGCUCAUCAGGUCUCUCACCGGUAAGUCCAUAUUUAUGUCUACCCAGGCAGAGCCAACUUACUGCCUCUCUUAUUUGUUCAAGUACACUCAUAACUGAAUCGAGUCUCAAGAUUUGUCUUGAGCUCAGCUUGUUUUACUAUAACCAAGUUGAGCUCAAACCAAAGUAUGUUCAUUAACAGCUGGGGUUUUUUUGCAGUCCUAAGUGAAAACUUAUUUUUCAUGAUAAUACGACAUUUGUUGCGUAAUUAUCACUUUAUAUUAUCAUAUAACUGUAACGGAAGAUUUAUAUCUGUCUACAUUGACCUUCUUAAUCUUUAUUAGAGGGAUGCUUUGGUCGUUCUCACUUUUUGGUCCUUUUGCUGCACAUUUGCUGCACACAACUAUUGCAUGUUUAUUGGCUCCAUAUGGAUGAAAACCAUUCAGUUCUUAUUUAUGUCCCCUAGUUCUUUGUUUUUUGUCUUGUACUCUAUUAUAUUUGUAUCUUCCUGCUUCCCAAACUCAUGUUCCCGUGCUUCAGUUUUGGUUGCUUAGCUCAUUGUUUACCUACUGGUAAAUUAAGGUUUUCUUUUCAUUUCUUCUCAUAGUACAUGGCUAGUCCGGUGGGUAACUUGAAUCUUUAAUUGCAAAAUUUAAACAAUGGUUAUACCCUUAUUGGUUUUCUGUUCACGGGGUGAUUUCUUUCUCUAUUUGAUGGUCCAACCUGCUGGAGUUCUUUUUCUUCUAAUAACUUGGAUACCAUAAGAAACAUUAGAAUCACCACAUGCCAAGGUGAAGAACAUAAAGAACACGCUGUAUGAAGAUUGUUCUAAAUCUGUUGAAUGUAUGCUUGUAUAUUGGUUAUUUUAGUGUUUAUUCUUUAUUUUAGUUCAUAUACUAUAUUUAGUACUUCUACUCAUUCAGCUAGUGCUAAAGUACCAAUUUGCUGCAGCUGCUCUGGAGAAAGAGCUGUGGUCCACAGCAACCAUCAAUGAAGAGGUGCUGAAAACCAUUUACGUGAUAUUCACUAACUUCAAGAAACUCCGCACUUCUGAAGCGGCAACGCUGUGCAUCCCGCAUCUAGUGGGUGCUUUGAAAUCCGGAAACGAGCCUGCUCAGGAGACCGUACUCGACACCCUCUGCUUAUUAAAAGAAUCAUGGUCACAGAUGAAUGAAGACAUUGCCAAAGCCCAAGCCUUAAUUGCUGCUGAAGCUAUACCCAUUCUUCAAAUGCUUAUGAAAACCUGCCCGCCCAGCUUUCAUGAAAGAGCCGAUAGCUUGUUACACUGCUUGCCCGGAUGCUUGACUGUGACCAUUAAACGCGGGAACAACUUGAAGCAGACCAUGGGAAGCACGAACGCUUUUUGUUGCCUAAAAAUAGGAAACGGUCCUCCGAGACAGACCAAGGUAGGCUAUAUUCUUUGUGGAACCCCAAAAAUUUCAAAUCGAGCAGUUGGGAAAUUAAAAGUUUGGAGUUUUUGCUGUGGGGUGAAGCUGAAAUAAGUUUCAGGGCCCAAGAGUAGCGUUGAUUUGAAACUCUACUUCUGCUGCAGUGGAAAGCUGUGGAAGAGAUUAAGAAAAAAGCUAUUAUUGCUUUUCCAAAACACCGUUAAUUGCCAAAUGAACCAUGACAAUCUCUUAGAGUUGUGUUUUACCUGCUUACUAUGAUAUGCGAUUCUCAGGUGGUGAACCACAGCACGUGUCCAGAAUGGAAGGAGGGUUUUACUUGGGCGUUUGAUGUUCCCCCGAAAGGGCAGAAGCUUUAUAUUCUCUGUAAAAGCAAAAAUACAUUUGGAAAGGUAUGCAUAUUUGUUAUUCUCUCUCCUAUGGGGUUCUUAGUUCAUGAUUUCAUUAUCUAACUGAGAUUUACUGAUUACAUUUUAGUCAACCCUCGGGCGAGUUACCAUACAAAUAGACAAAGUUGUGACUGAAGGAAUAUACAGUGGAUUCUUCAGCCUCAGCCACGAUGGUCGGAAGGAUGGAUCACGGACACUCGAGAUUGAGAUUGUAUGGUCAAAUAGGACAUCAAACGAUGGCAUCUAAGAUUGUUCAGUGGUAAAAAUCUAUCCAAAAGCCUUCAUAAAACCAAGCAUGAAGAGCAAGCUAAAAGAAGCGCUCUUAACGUAUCAUGUAUCAGUUUGUUCUGCAUGAAUGAUGUCUAGUAUUGCGGUAGCAAGUGGAAGACUGACUGGCCCGAGAAGCUAGGAAGAAUAUCCAGCCUGGUUAUCACCAGAGUCUGUAGGUUUAUCAAUGGUGAGAUUAUUCUGAAGGCUGCUGAUUAGUUUCUAGAGUUGAUUGUUGCUGUACAAACUGAGAUUAUCCUGAAGGCUGCUGAUUAGUUUCUAGAGCUGAUUGUUGCUGUUAAAGUUUGUACAGGUAAGAUUUUGCUUCUCUCCUUUGUAAUUAGCAUAAGCUUGUGAUCAUUUUAAGAGGAUCAUCAUGGAAUGUGGAGGAUGGUAAUACCUUAGUAUACCACCAUUACUCUUUUAUGAUUCUUUAGACAUAUUUUACUUGCUGUAAUCUAGUGGAUAAGACGUAUUACGAUCUAUUUUUUCAUCAACAAAAACUUAGCAUAUAUUGUCACAAUCUCCUGUUGCCAUUCGCGAAAUACUUAUUGUGGUACAAAAAGUCGAGAAAUCACAUCUCGUAGGAGAUGAACCCUAAGGAGAGGAUCAAUAGUACAUGACAUAAAAUAGAUUAUCGCACUAUUAGUGGCUCUAUAAUUCAAGGCCAACCUUUGCAUACUUGUGUUUAAGAACCUACGAGUAGGGUUGUUUUUGUAAAUUUCUCUCUAUAGAUGUACCAUAUUAUUCGGCACAAUAUUUCUGCUUUGACAGUGCUGGAGACUAGAGAGUGCUGGAGACUGGACAGUGCUUGGUUCUAUCAAAUUUUCGAUCGUUUGAUGAAAAAAUAUGUGGUUUGAAUGAUAAUAGUCUCUUAGGGUUGAGUAGAUGGUUGGUUGAAUAAUAUAAUCUAACGAGUGAAAAUGAUUAAAGGACAGAUCGAGUGGUAAAAAAUUCGAUAGUAUCAUUGGAGGGUGGUUGAUUGAAUAGUAUAAUCUAACGAGUGAAAUGAUCAAAAGAUAGAUCGAGUGGCAAAAAAUUCGAUAGUACCAAAAGCUUGGUAUAUAUCCUCUGCAAAGAGAACUGUUAAUGAUUUUUUAGAAGGGCAAUGAUAAGAGUUAUUGAGUGCAGGUUUUAAGUUUUAAGCCCAAAAAAGAAGCUUAGACGGUAAGAAAAACUCAAGUGCCCGCAACGAAGACCAGCACAGAAGACGCUGUCAAGGUGAAUCAAGUGUUAGUUUUAUUUGUAACUUCGAGGAAGCUCAUAUUCGUAGAAAGAGAAUAUGAAUUAAUUAGAGAGAACGAAUUUCAAAAAAUAUAGAAACUAAAAAUAGAGAGGAAGAAUCCACGAGGAAAAAAAAACUAGAAUCAAACAAAAGGGUAGGCGAAGUUUGGGAUAAGGUCCUGUUAUGCCCCUCUCUCUCACUCGCUCUCUCUCUCUCUCUCUCCUAUAAUAAGUUAAGCGGCAACAGCCGCAACUGCUAUACCCCAAAUACUUACGGAUGACAACCAAAAUCAGACCAACUGCGCCUAGAGCAAGUCGCAAAAGAUUUGGUGGUUGAUAUCCGAUAUCCAAGUUUGAAUUCUAGUUAAUUUAUAUUUCUAGCUAAGUUUAUUUCUAAAUAAAAUAAACAAAGCGGGUAACGUGCUAUCUAUCUCUAUAAAAAAAAAAAAAAUCAAAAUGGGCCUACCAAUCUAACGAAGCUGAUUAUUUUUAUAUCAGAUUAACGCUCCAUGCAUGGCAUGCAUAUUAAAAUUCUGUGCACUAACUACUAAAAAAUUAUGCGUAUUCACGAAAAUAAAUAUAUUCUGUACAGUAACUACCAAAACUAUGCGUAUGCAUGAAAAUGUGGGAAGUCUAGAAGUCCUCACAAGUCGUAACGUAAGCGCGUCAUCCAACAGCAGUGGGGCCCGGCGGCUGCUCCCUCUCCCUCUCCCUACGCGGUGUCUGGAAUCACACAACCGCCACACGGUGGCAACAGUUGCGAAUUGACUUGACUUUCCUUUUACCAUUUCGAACCAAUAUAUUUUUGUUUUCUUUUUCAUUUUCUCGUGUCACAUAAUAUAGCUCGGUAUGCCUGUGACAGAAACGGUAAAUAAUCGAAUAUUUAUGAAUAAUUAAAAAAAAAAGUUGUUCAGACAAAUUUUAUAUUGAGAAAUUUUAGCGCAAGUCGGAAAGCUGCAUAGUCGCCCCUCCUCCUCUUCGUCGUCCUCGUCUUCCACAUCCAUCUCUCCUGCGUCUUCUCAGAGCCCGAUAAUGGUCGGGGCGAAGCGAGGGGCGGCGCUAAUGGUGGCGCUCUUGAUCGCGGCCACCAUCCUCGCCGCGACCCCGCCCUGCUCCGCGGCGGCGCCGGCGAAGAAGAAGAAGACGAAGGCUCCGACGCCGCAGCGGGAGAGCGGCGCCCGCGGUGGUCCCUCCUCCGCCGUGUUCCCCCUCUAUGGCGACGUCUAUCCCCGCGGGUGAGUGAGCAAGGGUGAAGGCCCCUCGAUUGAUUUCGAAUCCUAAUGGGCUCUGAUUUAUCGAUGUUGUCGUGUUUGGAUCUUGUAGUCUCUUCUACGUUUCGAUUAACAUCGGGGAUCCGCCGAAACCGUACUUCUUGGACGUGGACACCGGAAGCCACCUCACCUGGCUCCAGUGCGACGCCCCCUGCGUGAGCUGCUCCCCGGUAAGAUCGCCUCCCCCAAAUCCUUCUCCCAAUCCCAAACCCUAGCGAUCUCUCUUUCCAAUCCCUAAUUCCUUCCAAGAAUCAUCUCACUUUGGCGGCGCGAAUCCCAGGGGCCGCAUCCGCUCUACAAGCCGGCGAAGACGAAGCUGGUGCCCUGUGGCGACCCCCUCUGCGCCGCCCUCCAGGCCGCCGCCACGGUGGCCGGCGGCGGCGGCUGCGGCGGCGGCUCGGCGGAGCAGUGCGACUACGAGAUCGAGUACGCCGACCAUGGCUCCUCGCUCGGCGUGCUCGUCUCCGACGCCUUCUCCCUCCGCCUCGCCAACACCUCCCUCGCCCGCCCCAACCUCGUCUUCGGGUGCGCCCUCCAUAUCCCUCUCUUGUGAUCGGCAAAAUCUCGCCGAUUUCUGCUAAAGGGGUAAAUGCAUGUGUAUCCCUGUAAAUUUUGAAUUUACGGAUAUAAUAUUCUUUUAUAUCACUAUAAACUUUUAUACUUGCAUUUGUUAGUAGUUUUUUAGUGUUAAAAUCGUUAGGCUUUUAAAUAAUAUUGUUAGAAUUUUAUUUUAUCACAUUAGAGGUAAAAUGAGAUGAUAUUGGAGAUCGUAAAUAAAAUUCAAAGUAUUUGAAUAGAUGUUUCCAGGAAUAGUAUCACCAUUUUCGGAGAAAAACGCAGCAGUCUUACUACUUGGAGAAAUUUAUUUAGUAAUCUACAAAUUAUACAAAUUCUCCAAAAACCUGCAAUUUCUUCAACAUUCUACUCGGAGGAUUAUAUUUAGUGCUAUUGUUUUCUUCAAAAAUCUACAAAUUCAACAAAUACGAAUGAGUUUUUUUUUUUUUUUAUAACCGAAUCAUUUGAGGAUCAAACCAUAAGUGGCUGUAUCAUGGUGUGACUAGUAGGUAAUUUUCCAGUAAUAAAAAUCGGUGGUUAGUUAUUCAGCUCAUGGUGGUGUAAGGUUCUUUCUUGUUCGAUGGGCAGGUGUGGGUACGACCAGCAGUCGGUGAGUUCGAAUUCGCCGGCACCAACAGACGGCGUGCUGGGGCUUGGGAAUGGAAAGACGAGCUUGCCUACUCAGCUGAAGGAGAAAGGCAUCACUCGCAGCGUGGUGGGCCACUGCCUCAGCAGCAAUGGGGGUGGCUUCCUCUUCUUCGGGGACGAUCUUGUGCCCUACUCUCAUGCCUCGUGGACUCCCAUGUCUCGCAGCACAUACCGGUGAGAGCCCCUCCUUUCCAUUCACUUCUCUGUUAUUCGCAGGUUCUGGGUAAAAUUAGUGGGGUUAAUUGCAUCUCAGGGUUGGUUGCAUCAUAGUUUGGUCCCAAAGUUCUAUAAUUAGACUUUGUGUUUGGUAGGUAUUCAAAAUUAAUUCGGCUGGAAAUUGACGGAAUAGUUUGGUGUUAAUGCUAGAGACUUAAUCAAAAUAACUUAACAAAUAUUAGGAAUCAGUAGUACAAAUUAAAGGUAAUGGGGAUAAUUGAGAAGUCCGAAAAUUUUGCAGCUAAAUUGAACAGGGAGGCCCACAUUAUCAACUUAACCAUAAUCGAGUAAUGGCGCACAUUAUCAACCUAUGAUAAUUGCUGUAGUUCAAAAGUUAUUUUUCUGAAUUGAAGUUCAAUAGUUAAGUAUGCAACAUAUUGAAUACCAACAUAUUGGAUGUUUGCCCAAUUUGAUAGAAAAUUUCAAUUCAACGAAUAAAAUUGGAAUGAAAAUUUGAAAGCUAAAGACCCUAACUGUAAGUCUGUAACAAGGUAAAAUUGUUAGAUCUUACCUAAGCUUAUUUGUGCUGCAUUAGUUGGUUAACUUUGAACUUGGUCCAGGAAAUAUUAUUCUCCAGGGUCUGCAAAUCUUUUGUACGAUGCUCGAUCCCUCGGGGUGAAGCAAAUGGAGGCGGUCUUUGAUAGUGGCAGCUCCUACACCUACUUUGGACUUCAGCCAUACCAAGCUCUCAUCUCCAAGGUACAAGUCAGAAACUCUGAAUUAUCUUUUCGAAUAUGGACAGCUGCUGGUGUUUUGGGUUAUUGUAUUUUGAUCCAUAUACUUUUUAUUUAGGGUUUAAUAUAGUCUGUGAGGUUUGGCCUGGGUAUGAAUUUUGUCCCCAGUUUAAGUUGCGACAGUGUAGUUCUUACUGUUUGACUUUGAGAAGAUUAGUUCGAGGUUUAAUAAUAUAGUCAAUAGAGCUUGGCUCCGAUUUCAUUUUCGGUGCACAAAGUAUGAAUUUUUAACUUGCAAGUCUUAGAUAAUGCUGAUGUCGCACUAUUUCACCUCCCCUCCUGGUGACAUUGUUUACUUGGGAAAGAUAGAGGGGCUGAAUGCCUCUGUCGCAAGUGUCACACUUAGAUUUUUGCAUCUUAAUGUUAAGACAUAGUUUGCAUGUCGGACAGCUCAAGAAUGAUCUAAGCAAGACGCCGUUGAAAGAAGCAACCAACGACCACACACUACCGUUGUGCUGGAAAGGCGCGAAGCCCUUCAAAUCUGUGCAAGACGUCAAGAAGUACUUCAAGACGUUGGCUCUGAGCUUUGUUAACACGAAGAAAGCCGUGCUGGAGAUACCCCCGGAAAACUACUUGAUUAUCAACGUAAGUACUUAUUUAUUUUGACUGCUAAACAAGCAGCUUGUAGCUUUGGGACUGAUUAUCUUCCUGUUGUGAAUGGUGCCAGAAAUAUGGGAACGCUUGCUUGGCCAUUCUCAAUGGAGCAGAAGUAGGGCUGAAGGAUCUCAAUGUCAUUGGAGGUACAGUAAAAUUUUUUAAAACAUAAGCCAUUGCGAACCAGAAAAUGGAUACGUAAUUUAACUAGUUUGUUUUGAGAAAAUUGUCGAAGCCUCUAAAUUUGUACUACCAUUUUGAUGAAAUAUUAUAUAACUUAAUAGAGUACAGCUAGGGGUGUAAUGUGGGCCGUGCCGGGCUGGCACGGCCCACAUUACCCGGGCCGAUUCGGACCCAGGGUCGGCCCGGUCCGUUUAUUAGAGGGAAAGGCCCGGUCCAGCCCCCUGGCCCGCCCAGCCCGGGCCGGGCCUCGUGCCAGCCCAGUAAUAGGGCUUUUGCCCUUCUUCUUUGUCCUUUUUUGUAUUUUUUUUUUAAUUUUUUUUUGAAGAAAAAGAGAUAAGUAGUUAUGUAAUAUGAUCAAUUCAAAAUUUAUCAUUAUGUAAUAUGAUUAAGCCCGGCUUAAGUGCCGUUGGGCCCAUCUUCCAAGGUUACGGGGCUACGGUAGCCCUACAGACUACACUCUUCUAUAGGUAGGUCCAUAGGAUUUAGGGCAGGUCCAUAUUGUGAUCCCUGUUGUUCUAUAGCCCAUAGACAUGGCCUAUGGGAUUUAAACCACCGGGCCGUGCCGGGCUGCGGGCCGGCCUCCGGCCCGGCACAGCCCAGUCCCAGACCCGACACGGGCCGUGCCGGGCCUGCAGGCCGCAAAACUCAGCCCGGCACGGCCUGGAGUGCCAGGCCGGGCCGGCCCGGAGUGCCGCCCGGCCCGUUUUACAUCCCUAUUAAAUGGAAUAUGUUGAGUCUCUUUCCAGAAAAUUUUCUCAAAUAAAACAAACUUAGUUUAGAGGUUAAAACAAAUAACCAUCUGUUUCCAAUUAAGCUUUAGCUUAUACAAUGAUCUUUGCUAUGGUGGACGUGCGCAGAUAUAUCGAUGCAGGACCUCAUGGUGGUUUACGACAACGAGAAGGGCCAGAUCGGAUGGAUCCGUGCAGACUGCGAUAGGCUUCCCAAGUCUGGAACUUCUCAUCUAUGACGUGAUCAUUUUCUUCUUUUUUACAUAGGCAGAAGUAGGGAGAAUUUCUUACAAUUUUUUUUUCCUUCUUCCACCCUUUUCUCUUUAUUCAAAAACAGUGCAGAUGAUUAUCGUGGCUUUGAGAGGGGUUUCUGCCAGCCUCAGUUCACCGACAUGGGUAUUCUAACAGAUUUCUGCCCUGCUUAUGUUCACUGAAAUGCGGCUCGAUUAAGGGCAGGAUUUUGUAUCAUCUAUGAAUAUUAUGUAUGCAAAAAUACAUUGUUUUAAGAAAUUACAUAGAAACCUAGUCCAUCUCCUGUCCCUCUUGCUGGAUGUAAUAGUAUAAAUAAAUACAUGAAAACUUGAUAGUGGCGGCUGCCGCUGCUCCCAUAUUUGUUAGAAGUGGCUCAUUCAAUGGUGCAUAGUUAGAACUCUAACAUGAUCCUUAAUACUGAGACUAAAUGACAAACGAUGCCCAUAAGUUUCACCUCUUUCUCUUCGCCAAAAGAACUGUACAAGAGGGCUAACCAGCAAAGCAUCAAAAGGAAAAGGCAUAGGAUCCAAAUGGUAAGGAUUAAAAUCAGCUGCAUUUAAUAUAAAGAAUUUGAAAUUAGCAGAGAUACGAAGGUUAAACAAAAAAAUGAGAAAUCAACAGGUACUAACCUUAGAAGGCAAAUGAAAAGCUCUUAUCACAACCGGGAGAUACUAGCACUAUAGAGCUUGAUUUGUCAUCUGCAUAUAAAUGCAUAAUAGCAUUAGUGCACGGUCAAAUAAUAGUGGUUUCUCAACAAUCUUCAGUACAAGGGGGAAAAAAUGAAGAAAUAUUGACAAAAUAUCAAAAUCCAAAUUAAAUGGUGUCAGCUCUAACAACAGAACAAGAGUCAGAUGUAAAAGAGGGUCAAAAACUGUCUCAAUGUCCUAAAAAUUGACAGAUAAAGAGUAAUAAACAUGACAAAGAAAGAAUAGGAGGGGGAUUAAUCUCAGGACGAUUCCUGGUGAAGCAAAACAGAAAGCAGUAAUGAUGGAAUUUUACCUUUGCUUGGCAAAUCUUUGAUAAUGCUUCUAUAUGAAAAUUUUGAAGCUCUUCAAGAGCAUUAUUAUCUAAGCCACCAAGGUCUUCACCCUGAAAAGAGACAUAUAUGUAUGAUUAUUUUAUUAAUUAAAGUAUCUCACUAUUGUGCAAUUUGAUUGACAAAAAGAAGCAUAUGAUGACAGGCAUAUAAACUAAUGUUACAUGCAGCAUAAAACAGCAUACUCUUAAUCUAGCCACAAUGCUUUCUAGUUCCUUGCAGUGUCGUCUUUCAUACUCAUAUGCAGUUCUUGCUUCUUCCAAACACUUCCUUUUAUCCAUAUCAACAUCUAGGUGAAAACCAUUUUGUUUCAACGGAAGUUCGUGAUCACUCAAACCAUCAACUAAAUUUUCGUGAGGAAUACUGCCAUUCUUCUUAAUCUUAGCAACAAGCACCCACAUGCUUGCUAGCUCGUUCUCCAAAUCCUGUUCGCGAUGUUUCGCCUCAUCAAUCUUCUUUUGAAGCUCACCCUCUCUUUGCACCUUCUCAGACAAUGUGGCUUCUAGAGAAGCUUCUCUCUGGCACCUUAGAGCCAGCUCUCUCUGCAAUUCCUCUAUCAAAAGCCCAUUGUCUGGUUUAUUAGAAUAGACAUCACAUCGUGAAUUAGCUCUAGCAGCAGAAGUAGAAGCCAUUUCCUUUGCUGCAACUAAAUCACCACUCAACUUGGCAUUCUGGUAAGAGAGUUUCGUGACUUCUUCGGCCAAGUUUCGAAGUUCAACUGCAGCAGCCGCAGCCAAUUCCUUGGCAUAGGAAGCUUCUUCAGCCAGUUUUUGGCUGUGAAUCUCGAGCCCAUCCUUCUCUUCAGCCAAUCUCACCUUCUCCUGUUUCAGAUUCUCAAUCUCCGCCGCCUAACUCGUAAAAAAAAAGAAACAAUUUAAUUUAAUAUUAUAUUCUAGAAACAAAAUAAUAGAGUGAUCAAGUUAUGGCGAAGAAAAAACAAAGGAUUACUCUAUUUACCAAGGUUAUGAUGAUGAAGUAACAAAAGGAUUACCUGCAUGAGUACUUGGGACUUUAAGGAUGCCUCUUUAGAGUCUUCACUAGAUAACAUGAAAGGAAGGCUCAUCGCAUUAGAUGGUACAUUUCCAUUGCUAGAAACUUCCUUAGAUGAAUCAGCAUGUUUUGUCAGAUUAGGAGUACUGAUAGAAGUAUAAGAACCAAUAUGCUGCCUCAUUAAUGAGAUGGUUUCCUGAAGCUCGGCAUUUUCAGAUAUCUGUCAAAAUUUGAGAAAGCAUACAGGACGGAUCAAAUUAAAUCUGAAACAAUAUAAUCUAUUUAAUUUUGUUCUGAAAUUUCACCUUUGCUUGUAGCUGGUCUUGAAGAAUUCUAUUGUCUGCAGACAUUAUCUUUUGAAGCCAUCACAUUGAAGUGAAAAAAACAAAAAAGAAAAAAAGAAAAAUCAGUAAUGUCUAUCACCGAAAAUCAAAGGAGAAACUAUCGAGGAGAGAAGUUGGACAAACCUCAAGCUCAAAUGUCUUCUCACUUAACUGGGUAGUCAACUUUGAUAGAGUCUACAAGAAAGUUAAGUUUGUGAGUUUAGCAUCACAUCUUUUAGAACACUACGCAGCAAUAAUAAUAUCCACUGGCAAAGUGAUUACUUGACUGAAAAGCCAUAAGUACUCAAAUUAUAUACACAAGUAUUUGUAGACAACUGUGCAAACAUAGGAAGAUGAAAGAUUGCAGCUGGAGAACACAAAAGGUUAACAGCAUUCGCAAGCACCAUGACUACAAUCACAUUUUUUUAGUAAGAGUGUUCACUCAGAUGCAAGUCUACAACAAGGGGUCUUUCUUCCAUGACUUGGUAUCGCCCAAUAAGUAGUUAUAUGAUUGGCUAAGGCAGAUAUUUUACUGACUUUAUCUUCUCGCUGCGAAUGCAAAGUGUAAACAACAAAGGGGGAAAAAAAAGAAAGAAAAAAAAUUACCUGAGACAUUUCUAUACUAUCCGACGAUUCCUCAAAAGAUCCUGCCAUCCGCUGCUCAAGGACACGCAUCUGUAAUUUCUUUUCAGCAAUUUCAUUCUUUAGCUUCUGCAUUUGUUCCUACAAGAGAUAUUAAAAAGACUUUAACUUAUUCAGUAAAAAGGAAACCUAGAUUCCUAACAAAACAGUGAGAUGACUCCACAAAGCAGAUGAAUGAGACCUUUGAUUAUUCAGUACAUAAAUUGAAAGUUCAUUUAGCUCACAUGCCUGAAUUUGUUGGUCGUCGGGGUUGUUCACCACUUGUUCUGACAGUCUCUUAAGAGAGCUUGUACAUAGUGCAACUUCACCAGCUAGCAUUUUCACCUGCUCGCGAAGAAGAUCCAUUUGAUCAAUGAUAGUUGUUCCAGUCUGCAAGACAAGCAACUUGAGUUGGUAAGAUAUUCUGAUAGCAGAUGAAGUAAAAUCCAUAAAUACACUGAAACCCAAUACCAACAACAAUUCGCACAUGAAAGAAAGAAAAGUAAAAUGACUUAGAAAACAUGAAAAACAUAUAACCCACAAGAUGCUUCAGUGCACAAGUCUAAUAUCACCACCUAUAUUAAUAGAAGAGCCUAAAUCAAUUACAGGUUAAGUACAAAAAGGAAAAUCCAUACCUUUAGGGUGCAUAAAGUGAUUCUCUUUAUGGACAUGAACAUCAAAGGAACCAUAUAUUCAAAUGUCUAGAUGUAUGGUUAGUUUACAUAACAUGCAAAAGACCAUUUUAUCUAACGCAACAUUACAAGAAGCAGGGGUGGAGAGAGAGAGGGGGAGGGGAGAGAUCAAAGUCAAUAGAUUCAACAAAUGAAUAGGGAGUAAUUCUUGUAAGCAUCAACAGGAAAGCUAAUAGUAAAAGUCCAACCCUUUAAUUUAGCUCACCGGCGGAAGACGGCGUCCUUUUGUGGCGGUGCUAAAUAGAUCACCUGCUUGUGUCCUUUCUCGGAAGGAGUCAAUAAGCACGGAAGGAUCGUCACUCUUUCUACUUACGGACUUCCUCCUCCCAUCCUUCAGAUCAAAUGAUAUAUGUUUCUGUUGUGAUUGUUGAGAACACGAAGGGGACCCACUUGCGGUGCUCUCACUAUCAGCACCAGGUGAGAGUCCAGGAAAUUGAUCUGGUUUCUGCAUGAGAAGUUAUUAAUCUCAAGAUACUUCAGGGUUCUUGCAGAUAUAGAUCGUAGUCAGCUGGUGCUAACUCUUAGUGGGCCAACAAGGCAUGAUCCUAAAACACAUAGUCACUUUCAAGAUAGAAAUUGCUCAGUAGAAGCUAAAUUGACAUUAAAAGUUGUAUGCCAAGUUUAAGAAGGCUUGACCGAUACCCAAAUUAUAAGUAAAACAAUAUUGUUACUUCAUAGCUGACACGGAUCCAGCUAGGUUGAGGUCCUACUUAACACAGCAUUCAGGAUGAUGAUAAAAUGAGAGAGAGAGAGAGAGAGAGAGAGAGAGAGAGAGAGAGAGAGAGAGAGAGAGAGGGGGUACAAAGGGAAGGGGGAAGGGGAUACAGCCAACGCAUUGAGCAUGUAAUUGAUCUCAAAUUUAAGGAGUUUCUGCUAAGCUAUUCAUGUGGAACUGUACCAGCAAUGCCCCAUUUUAGUUUUAUUUAAAUAAUGUGAGAAUAUAGACAUGAAGUUAUUUUUUAACUAAGAAAAUAGUAUCAAUGUGUAAAGCUGUAAACUUCAGUCUUAUUCUAGUGGGUUACACCCAUGAGCUUCAUAAUGGUAAGUUUCAUAUUUCCUUGUAGCAACGCCUGAAGACAAAAGAUGCCAGACAAUUCUAAACAAACAGCGAAAAGAUUAACCAAGAAGCUCACCCUUAGUUUGAACCAACCAAGCAUUCCACGCCUACGAUUCCUUUUAUCAAACCUGAUUGGCUCAUCUAUGCCGCUUCCAUCAAUUCUUCCUGCUGAGAAGUCGGAAUCAAGACUGCCAACAUCAUCAUCCUCAAUCGUGUACUCCCUCUUACGAUCAGGCAAAUAAGCAAGCUGCAACAGUUUAAGAAGAUAUUUUUAAAAAUGCUAUUACAACAGUGGGACUUCAGUCAUAGCAAUAUAGAUGACGAUGCAGAAUGGAAUAACCUGAUCCUAAUUGGUUCGUUUGAUAUUCAUUAGUUCUACAAAAAUGGUAAAUUUAGUAGGAAGAAUUAACUCAGAUAAUUACUGUUAAAUUGCUCUAUCAAAUCAAGCCUGUUCAGUAAUCUCUAGCGAACUCAUUUAAACAGAAGUCAAAAACCAAGCCAACCAGGUUAGUUUCCUAACUACAUCAGUCAUAUUAAGAUCAGUUUCCAGCCCAUUUAUGCUGCCAUAAUCUUAUUGUAGACCAAUCAGUUUGUAGGAAAACUAAGAAAAAAAUAUUACAAGAACAAAUUAGUAACCAUAGCAAAAGAUUGAGAUAAGUUUGUAGGAAAACUAAGAAAAACUAUUACAAGAACAAAUUAAUAACCGAAGCAAAAGAUUAAGAAUAAAACCUCAUCUUCCCCAAAAGAAUGCCUUCGUCUAUGACCAGCCUUCUCUGAAAUGUUUGAUGGCAUAGAAUUCUUGGUGGAUACUAAGAUUAGUUUAGUCAGCCGCUGAAUCCGACCCAUCAGGGCUGCUUUUGCUUCCUCCUCCUCUUCCAAUCUUGACUGUAACUUGACUUGGCCAGCUUCAAGCUUUCAUAUUGGAGAAAGAACUAAUUUCAAAAACAUUGAAAAAAGGAGGCUAGAAAAAAGUGGAAACAUAAACAAGAAUUGUUUAUUAGCUGCUUGAGAUGAGAAGCUAGCACGAAAAGACUCCCAAGUAUUGCAUCUAAAUAGUAAGCAACCUAUCCCCUGUUCAAUUUGCAUACGUAACAUGAUAGCAUAAUAUGGCAAAGGAAACACUUAAGGGGUUGCUCUACAGAAUAUCCUUACAGAACAAACUGGAAGAUUCUAGUUUCUUUGCAACAAAGUUAAUAAUGGCUGAAGUCUAGUUACUAGUAUACCAAAAGCUCUUUUUUUUAUUUACUUUUUUUAAAAAAAGAGAUAACUGUGCUAGAAUCUAAAUCAAGAUGUUGAUAUGAAAAAAAAAAAAAAGAAAAGGGAUGGAAAUGGAUAUCAUUGGACUUGGUUAUUCUCCUCCCCACUCAUAGUUUACAAAUAAAAUGCUGUUGCAUAAUCCGUCAUUCCGUUGGCUACAAGAAAAUAUACCAAUCUAAAACCUUUAUAUUGUCAGUCCAGAGUUGACAAUGGCAGUUCAAGAUCAGUCUAAUGAGUUGCCUGAUAAUGAUGAGAAACUAUGAUUAAAAAAGCUCGGAUUAACAUGUAGUACAAACAACAUCAAAAUACCAAAAAAAAGAGACUUAAAAUAGCUUCAGAUUUAGCCUGGAUAGCUUAUUGAUUUCAUGCUUAUAAUUUAAAAAUUAUACCAAUUUGUAACAAUUUGGGUCAUUUUGUAACUUUCUGAUCAUCAAUGACAGAUUUGCAGAAUAAUGAGAAUAUCCGGAAAGAACUGCAUUUGCAUGAGAAAAUGAUUAAGCUAACCCAAAAAUAGAUUCCAUACCCGGCAAACUCCAGACAAUGAAUGGUGCUAGUAUGAUGGUUAUAAAGGAUGAUAGAAAGACAAACCUUAAGUUUUAGGUUGACAAGAUCCUCUUGACUGGAAGCAACAAAGUUGGGAUGUUCCAUCAUGCCACGUUUUAAUUGCUGCAGCUCUUGUUUUAGGCAGGAAAUCUCUCUCUGGUACUUCUUUAUAAGAGACUUCUCAUCUAUUAUCUGCAAAAUGUGGUUAGCAAUAACAAUCAGUUCCUCUCAUCAUGCAUAUCAGGUCUAUAUAUAAAAUGGAGUAAAUGUGUCACCUUAUUUUGAGAAGCUUUAAUUUCAACAUGCUUGCAUUUGUGUGCAAAUUUGAGUGUAUUAUGCGUUUCCUCACUAUUGCUAGAGGCAGGAGUAACCGUGCAGAUAAGCUGCCAAAAGCAGAGGGAAAUAAAAAGCAAUCAUAAGAGCAGUGAAUUACAUUUUAAAUUAUUUUCUUCAACAACACAGCCCACAGUUAAAAGAAGCAUGAAAAAAGGAAUUUCCAAUACCUCCACUAGUGGAAAAAGGAAAAUUAUUGAUGCAACUGUUGCACAUUUAAGAACUUACAGAAAUGCGUCCAUGACCACUAAGAGACGACUGCAGUAAGCGGGUGAGUUUUGAAUCUCUGUAUGGAAUAUGAGUAGCCUUGCCAUCUGUGAGUUUAGAAAUAACCUGGAUAGCAAAAAUGACAUUUUUAAAGGACUCACUUUAAAAUACAAUAUAAUAGUUGUAAAAGCUGCAUAUAUAGUAACACAUGAAAUAAGCACAAUUUUCAGCAAAAGGAAAGAUAAGAUGGUAAAUAUCACAAAACCCAUUACCAGUAACUGAAUGUUUCAAUAGUUUAUAAUGGAUGAGAAUACUAUCAGUUGAAGGCUUGUAGAUGCAAGAAAUAUAAGAUCAUUCACAAAAAUAGACAUGAAUUUUAAAAAAGAAGGAAAAAACGAAGUCCAAUUCAAAUACCUAAGGUUGAACAGAAAGAAAAAACAAUGCAGAUGAAGCUAACCUUCUUUAGGAUAUCUUAAUGUGCUAGGCAUGUACAAGUGUAUAACAUAUUUCAAGAUGAGGUCAGCCUUUAACAAAAUAAACUUCCUACUCUCAGGCAUUUUUAAGUAGAGGUUAUAGUACAUAGUUUAAUUUUUUCCGAAGUUUUGAGAAUUGGUAAAAACCUCGGACAUACUUCAAUAAGGAGAGGAUCCUAUCAUUUAGGAUGCAUAAUAUUUUGACCAACAGAAAAAUGCAAGGUAUUAAAACUCUUUCCAUUGACAAGCCUCCAAAAACCAAUUCCUUAGGUUGGCAAGAAAGAGCCCGAAUGUUUUCUUCAUAAUUAUUAACUUUCAUUCGAUUAGGUUGUAUAUGUAUCCUGAAUAGAGGUACAAAUCGUACAGAAAUUUAUAUGGAAGCUCUUAGGACAAAAAUAUUAAAAAAUAUAUAUAGUGAAAAUAAUAAGUAAUAGUAGUCAGACAAAAAAUGUGUCACACACAUGAUCUUAAAAGACCAUCAAUAAUCCAAAAAACAAACUUCUGUAAAAAUAAUCUAAAGGUUGGAUAUUAUGAUACUUGAUAUUUCGAAGAAAUGAAAACACCAACAAGCAAUCCGAUAAAUCAUCAACUAAGAUUUAAUCAUUGAAUAUCUUGAAAAAGGCUUCUAAGAUUGAAUAAACUAAAAGAUAAUCAUAACUUUACAGUAAGUUAAAAUAGAGGAAGAACAAUGGGAUGCAGUAGCUUACAGUCCCAAGAGUAAGUAAACUUUUGUUUAUGUAUGAACCUUCCUUCCGUCUCAACCCUGUUGUUUCAGUCUUGGAACUUUCUGACCCAGCUAGAUCAAUCAAGUUCUGAAAUAUUUGUCAAACCAGAAAGUCAGGGGGGAAAGUUGCAAUUAGACAGAAUGAAUGGUUGAUUUACAGAAACAACAGCAUGCAUUAAACAAAAGAUCAUAUCUCCUAGAAGGAAAAAGAAUUACCAACUGAGAUAGUCUAACUUCUUCCUCAUCUUCAUUUUCACCAGAAGGGCUACUCUCAAUAGUCUGCAGGCGCAUAAUUUCUGUAAGUUACUAAAAUAUACCUUCAAGUCAAUUAAAUAAACGGUGUAACAAAAAAAACAAUAAAUGCUAUUUAAAUUGUGAAUACGAUAAACCAAAAAGCUAUAGUUUCAGAAAUCCCACAAGAAUGCAAUGCCAAAGAAACUUACCAAUGUGAAUAUAGUGUGACUCCUGCUACUGACUAGAUUGAAGUUAUUAGAACCCACAUGUCUGUGCUCUGCAACAAUAUACUGUGAUAAGUGCAAACGGAAGUAUUCCAAUAUAAACAUUACAACAAAGGGAGCAAACAGCAAUACAAAAGAAUAACAUGUACAAUAUUCCUGACUAAUAAAAAAGGAAUAUGUUCAUGUUAGUGUUAAAAAGACGUAAUCCUGCAAUCUGCAGGAAACAGAAGCAACAAUGCACAUGCUGUGUACUCCAAGAAGCCCUGAAUAAUGCACGUUAAAUUGAUUAGCAAAGAAUCCUAGCUCCAGCUAAGAAUCCACUAAAACUGAUAAUGAACAGAUUAAAAAUGUCACAUAACACAUUCAAAUGAGCUUCUUAGGUUGCAUAGGUAAGUUAUAAAAUGAACAAAGAAUAAUCCAAAAAACAAACCAAUACAGUAAAUACUUCAUCACCCACAGCAAUGCACAACCCACAGCAAUGCAUAAUGGAAGGCUAAAGUACAAUAACCACCGUUGCAUAUUUGCCCAUAUCUCAACUAUCCUCUAUGUUUUCUAUUACUUCGAUUUCAACUUUACAUGUUAGGAUAAUAAGGUGACAAAUUUCUAGGGUAAUAAGGCAUGAUAGUCAUGUAGUUUAAAUAAAAGAUAUGUAAUCAAUCUCUUUGUAGACAUACCUUCACCAGAUGCUAUUAAGGAAAGAGCAUGGGCAGGAGAUAGAACCACCUCUUCUUUGAUUCCCUCGACAUAUGUUCCCUACAUGAAAUAUGAAACUAUCGAAGUUCAGCAUAAUAAAUGAGAAGUACUAAGUGAAAAUUAACAGUCAUGCAGAUAAUGUUUGGAAAAAAAAAAAAGGAAAAGGAAAAGGAAAAGUAAAUGACAAACGGAAUAAAUAACAUAUGCAUAAGCCAAUCGACAUGGAAAGCUAUUCAACAAUUGAGGUUAGAAACCAUAACAUGCAGAAACUUAGCUGCUAAAGCACCAAAAUAUGAUCUCAGUGGGGAUUUGUGAAAUGUGACAUGUGGAAAAGCACAAUUUAGUGCUUAUAUAUAUUGCUUAUGAGUUUGUUGUUUACUUCAUGUUUAUUAAUCAAGCGAUACAAUGUGAAAAUGGUUCAGCUUGAAGAAGCAUACUUAUUUGUCUUUUUGUCUUCCUUCUUACACCUUUUUCUGCAAACAUUUGCCUGAUUUACAAAAUGCAAAUAUGUCACUAUAAAUCUUAACAAUGCUUCAUUGUUUUAAGUUCAUAAUAUGGGCAUAAAAAUAAAAAGAUAGCUUAAAAUUUUAUAGCCUGCUAUCAUGCUUCAUUAGUGAUUUCUAUAUAUAAUUCGAGUAUUUUGCAUGAUUAUCUGCUCAUACUAUGACUAAAAUACAAUUACACACUUGAGUACAUAAUAGUUCAAAAAAACAUACAAGAACUGUCUAACAAAAUAAAACAAAUGAUAUUAUCACAGCAGUAUGCCAGAUCCCAGUUUGUUAUUUAUGGUAUAAUCCACUUUUGUUACACGCUUUUAACUGAAAAAAGAAAUAUCUGCACAAAAUAUAUGACUCAUUAACAUCAUGCUACUAUUGUGCAAUGAGCAAGUUCUGAUGGAAAAAAUGAUUACCACUUUCAACAUCGAGAAGGAAAAAAGAUAUUACAAAAACUUCAUUACUUAGGAACUAGCAGACAACUUUCAAUCCCAGAAAGUAACAAGCACAAUGUUGUCAAUGUUUAGCAUCCUGGGACAAAAUAGCUGUCCCUAGGUGUGACAAUGGACAGAUCAAUAUCUACCCAUGUUAAUGGCAAAACAGAUGACAUUAAGUCAUGGUACCUGUGAAUCCUCCCUUAUUCUAAGGUUCUGUCCUGUUGGGUCAAGCAAAUCAUUAAUAACCUGUCAAGGUAGAAAAGGAUAAAAGUUAAUAUAUUAAAACACUAGAGGAGAUGAGAGUUGUAUUGUUUUGCAAAGGUUGUCUAAAUCAUAUAGCAAGAAAACUUCAGGAAACUAAUGCUGCUUAAACAGAAGAUUCAAUUGCAUUAUUACAUAAACCGCAAAACCAUGGAAGUUUAAAGGUGUCAGUACAAAUAUCAGAAAAGAUAAAUAUUUGCAGUUCAUGUGAAAAUACUUACAAUCAUACCACCUUAAAUAAGACCCAAAAGGGUAGUACCUCAUUGUAUAUUUCAAGGUAAGAAACACGCAAAAGAAAUUCUCGGCCAGGCGUCUGGAAUCAAGAGAUUGAAUAAAAGAUUAGUAAAAAUUUUAAAAAAUAAGGAUGAGACCAGGCAAAUAAUGAAAGAAAACACCCAAGACAUGAUCAACAGUGUUUACAUCUUGGAUAAUGCUGAAGACAUCCUUCACCGCCAAUGGAAUAAUUCCAGGGGACUUUUGCUCACCCUUAAGGAAAAAAAAAAAAAACAGAAAGGUAAAAGAAAAGAUGAUAACAUGGUGCUAGCAACAAAUUAAACUAAGGCAAUUCAAUGUCUUUAGUUUGUCAGAACAAUUAAACAAUAGACCCUAACAAAUAAACUCUAGAAGAAGUUACACAAUUGAAGAGAAAAAAUUUCCAUUGAGGUGGAUCGCCACGAUGACAUAAAAAUUUAGAGAUGGUUGGCGCAUUUAGAAGUACAUAAAGAUUUAGAGAUGGUUGAUGCAUUUAGAAGCUUAAUUAAAAAGGAAAGAGAAAUUUCAAGCAUUUGCACAUACGGACAACGAAAAUUUUGAUUUGACAGAGAGCUAAAGAUUUUAUUAUUCUUUGAUUCACUAUUGGACGAAAAUCUUUGCUCCACAAGUCUACAGUUUCUUAAUUCUAACAGGUGGUCAAAAAGUUGGAGAUAAAUAAUGAACUAAAAAUUUGGAAAUGGAAUUUAGUUCGUUUACAUUUGGAAACCUCACGUUUAUUGACAUUGCAGUUAAUAUCCUACUGCAUAGAUUAGUGCCAAACAAUCAGCUGUUCACACCCGAGGUGUUAGUUACAGACACGUAAAAAGGGAAACAAUUUGUCAAUUAAUCAAUUUGAAUAAUACCCUUAGGAUCAUAACAAAUUUAUGCUUUUGUAUAUCAUUAGGUGCUCCCCUGAGAGCUCGACAGAUAGCAAUAAUAAAACAAUAGAACCAAAAUACAAUUUAAACAAAUAAUUAGACAACUGGAAGUCUGGCACUAGAAACUUAAAUUAUGCAUAACUGAUACAUAUAAGAUUGCCACGGCAUCAAAGACUUACGUGCAUGGUAUGAGUUUUGCCACUACUAGUAACACCAUAGGCAAAAACAGUACCUGUGAUACAGAAAUAUCAGAACCUCUAAGAUAAUAAUAACUGAAGGCCAAGUAAUUUUUAAUAAACAUAUAUCUAGAAGGAAUGUGGAAAUAUGAACCGAUAACCCAUGUUCUAUAUAAAAUAAACUGCAUCAAUCAAAUCAAAGACAACUUCUAGGGCCACACUUAAGUCAAAAAGAAAGGAGAUUACAGACACUAAGCUCAUACUGAACAAAUCAAAGAACGAAAGUUUCACAUGCUAUAAUUAGCUUUUACAACAUUGUUAAUAGUAACACAUUAAGGGCAUGUUUGGUUCAUGAGUGGAAUGAGAGUGGAAAAUGGAAUUAGAAUGCAUUGGAAUAGAAAAUGGAAUGAAGAAUCAUCCAAAAAUGUUUGGUUCGUUAUUGGAAUGGAAAUCAGAAUGGACAAUUGGGACACCUAAAACUUUGAGAGAGGGGUUUUGGACCUUUGGUUAAGAUAGAGGAGAGUGAUGAGCGGAGAGAGAAGAGGGAGGUAUUUAUGAGAGAGGAUUUUGAGUGGUUUAUUCUAAAAUUGGCCAAUCUAGAAUUCACAACCGAAUUGGGUCAUAAAUGGAUUGUGUCAUUCCCAUUCCCGAGUGAAAUGAAAAUCGGAAUCCAAUUACUAUUAACGAUAACUAUUGAGAUAAGGGAUUCCCAUUCCGAUUCCAGAGUCUAAAAUAGGUGAACCAAAUAAGCCUUAAGUGCUAUGCAACAGUAUAGACGAAUCCGAAGUUCCAAAAACAAAAUUAGAAUUAUUUGAAUUUCUAGCGUUACUUAGCACAUGAUGCCCGUGUAAUAGACUGUAUAAAUUUAUAUUUACAGGCAUCCCAUCUUAUGCAAAUAGGCCUUUUACAUCUCUCAAAUGUGAAAUUAUGACCAUUCCAAAACUACAAGUUCUUCACUUGGUUCCCCAAGUAUUCUUCGGAAGUGGAAACUAAGAAUAGAAAAAUCAUUAAAUCUCAACGGUACCAAGAAUAAGAAAGUACCAUUGAUUCCUUCCAUUGCACUGCUUACAACAUGCUGAGCAGCUACAUCGUAAACAUGACGAGUUGUAGUUGCCGGGCCAAACACUUUAUCUGUCAAAAUAAGGGGAAAAUAACAUUUUUCAGGGAAAAAGACCGAAUGUUAAAGGAAAAGGACAAAACUAUAUUGAUUCUACUGGAUUAUCAUGUUUGCUAUACCACCCUGUGCCAAUUUGGCACAUAUCUUCCAAAUGCCUUAUCUAAUUAAUGAGUAUUGAUCACAAUACAGGUUCCUUCAAGAAGCUUUGUAGAUUGAAUAAGUUGAGCGAUGCGAAUGUGCAAACUGUUAGGAAGAAACUAUCCAAGCCCAAGUAGUCGUGUUAAAAUAUACAGAUAGCACAUUGGCACAGCAAUUCUCCACGAAACAAUUGUUCAUUGAUCAGCAAAAUAACAGGAGAUUAACACUCUACCAUUGUGAUAAUUCUCAUUAUCAAAGUGUUAAAUGCGUUGAUAUAGCAUGCAUUACUCCGGCCAAUUUUGGUCUAUUUAUUGGUAGACUAAUGGGUCAUGCUGGCUUUUUGAACAGCCAUUAAUAAUAUCUUUUGUUACAUAAGUAGAUGAUGCAACUUGCCACGCUGAACGUUCCCUAAACAUACAUCUACUCAUACCCAUAAAAAUUAAUGCAUAUUGUUUUAAGGAAAAGUAGAUAUAAACUAAAAAAAAAAACUAAAAAUAAAGGACUCGAAGACAUUUCCUCAAUAUCUCAAUCUAUGAGUAUCCCUCGGACUAAUUAUUUCGACUACAACGAGAUCAAAGUAAUUGCAGUCUUGCAUUUGUAAAGUUGACAUGGCACAAAUGGUUCAGAGGGUCCAAUAAGGCAACAUUUAAAAUUUAAGAUAACUUUAAUUCAGCGCUCCUAAAGGCUCAUACAGCUGUAGACAGCAUGGAUCAUUAUCUCUACACAACAUUAACCCACAUUACUCAGAAAGAACUAAUUCAUGCUACAAACCUCCACGACAACUGCUUGGAAAAGUAAGCAAAAAACUGCUUGGAAAAGUAAGCAAGCGCGGACAAGAUUCUCGAGUAAGGGUUAGGAAUACCGACCGAAACCGUAAGCAAUCGACAGAUUGUACUCAUUGCGCACGGUAUAAUCCCCAUCGGCAUACCACGCGACCUCGUCGCCUUUGUUGAUCUCUCUCGCGCUACCAAGAACCAGUUACUUGAUGAAUCAGACCACUUUUCUCAGCUCAAACAAGGGGUAGACACUCACAAUGGAGAAAGAAGAGGGCGCCGCAUACCUAAGAGGCCGAAACCGGACGGUGACGGUGACGUUCUCCUUGGACUUGGCGAGAUCGGGGGGGCGCUCGGAGAGCUGAGACGAAGUAGGGCUAAUGGGAGCCGCAGAGACCGGAGACGGCCUCGCGGGCCGCGUCGCCGCGGAGGACGAAGCGGACGAGGGGGUCGUCGGCCGCGCCGACGCUAAGGAGGACGGGGUCGCGGGCCGAGCGGCGCCGGAGGAGGCGGAGGAAGGGGUGGUGGGUCGAGCUCCGGGGGCCUUGGAGGGGGGAGGGGUGGGGGUCUUGCGCGAUCGGAAUGGGGAGAUGCUCGCUCUCCCGGACUUGGAGGACAUGGCGAGAGUGGUGAGGCGAUCGACAGGAACAAGACGAGCUCUCUCUCUCUCUCUCUCUCUCUCUCUCUCUCGAUCUCUUUGAUCUCGUCGAUUCUAGGGUUUCGGAUGGAGACGAAGGAGGAGGACGAGGAGAGGAGACGACCGGCUCACAUGCUCUCUCCCUAUCUCUCUCUCUCUCUCUCUCUCUCUCUCUCUCUCUCUGCCGCCUCCGGUCCAAACUACGGAAUAUUUUUUGAAGUUGGCUUUUUCUUGUUUCCCUCAUUCUUUGAUGCUGGGGAGGGGGGAGAGUGACGGUAGCGUUACCUCUCAGUAAGUUUACCGCGCGGUUGCUCAAGCACGUACGGUGAAAUUGACUCGCCAGUCGUCGCCAAUAAGACUCCACCGAGUAGCUGCCAAGAUUCCUGAAAUUUAGGGAGAGAUUUAAACAAAGCCUACAAAAUUGAUCAAAACAGAGAACAUUAAACUAGAUGGGCUUAAUUACAAAAGCACCACUUGUACUUCAGUUCAUAGUUUGGACUUUUUUUCGAAAAUAAUCCAAUAAAAUUUCGUAUUUGCCAAACUAAUCCUGUGAAACUUUUAUUUGUGAAACUAACCCUCCUCUCGCCACCUCAGCCGCCACAUCAGCAUUUCUCACAAAAACGGUAACUCGUUCACUGUUUUUAGGCAGUCGUCUUGAAGGCAGUGAAUGGUUCACCGCCUUCUCGAGGCGUAUCAUUCACCGCCUUCUCAACAAUUCCCCGUGCACCCUACCGCCUUCUCAGCAAUUUCCCGCGUACCCUAAGGUGCCCUGAGAAGACGGUGACUCAUUUACCGCCUUAUGAAGGCGGUGAAUCGUUUACCGUCUUAUCGAGACCUGAAUCAUUGCGCAAGGUGCUUGCGGUAGACGGUCACUCGUUUACCGCCUUGACAAAAGCGGUGAAUAGUUUACCGCCUUAUCUAGGCAUAAAUCAUUCACCGCUUUCGCAGCAAAUCCCCCGCCUAACAGCCCUAUUCUGUGGCAUAGAUAAGGCGGUGAUUCGUUUACCACCAUCUCUAUGCCGCCUAAGCAAAUCCCUGUCUUUAGUGUGGAACUCCACCCAGCCUAAUUUCGCUGUUGGGCGGGGGAUUUGCUUAGAAGGCGGUGAAUGUUUUACGCCUUAAUAAGGAGGUAAACGAUUCACCGCCUUUAUUAAGGCGGUAAACGAGUCACCGUCUUCUCGAGGCACCUUAGGCUACGCGGGGAAUUGCUGAGAAGGCGGUGAUACACGGAAAAUUGCUGAGAAGGAUGGUCCACGCCUGGAGAAGACGGUGAACCAUUCACCGCCUUCAAGAUGCGUCCCCAAAGACGGUGAACGAGUCACCGUCUUUGUGAGAAACGCUGACCUGGCGGCUGAGGUGGCAAGAGGAGUGUUAGUUUUAGAAAUAAAAGUUUCACAGGAUUAUUUUGGCAAUUACGAAAUUUUACAGGAUUAUUUUCGAAAAAAGUCCUCAUAGUUUACUCAUUCUAUGUAUUAAAAAGUAGGGUAAGCUUUAAAUACUACGGUAGUUUGGUACUUUCUUAUUUUGUAUCAUAUGAUUUAAAAGGUAUUAAUUUAUUAUCAUGUGGUUUUAUUUUUCUCUUUUCGUUAGCCUCUCCGCUAACUUUUCAUUAAAUCAUACACAAAAAAACUUCAUAUACUCUAUCUAUAAUUUAACGAAUAUUCACUUUAGUAUUCUUUAGUUUUACGAAUAUCACUGAUUUAACGAAAAAAAUUAGUAGAGUGGAUAAUAAAAAGAGAAAAAUAAAAUCACAGGGUAUGAAAAUAGUACACUUUAAACCAUAGGGUACUAAAGUAAGAAAGUGCGAAAUCACAGGGUUGGUAUUUGAAGUUUUUUCUAAAAAUUCUGUUAACUAGCUACAAAAAUUUUAUUACUGUUUUCAAUAGAAUUCAAAAUUCACAAAUAAUCGGCAAAUUAAAGUGUAAAACUUUACUAAAAUAAAUAGGUAUUAUCAUAUUUUUUCACAUCUUAACAUCUAUUGAAUUUGCAAUUAAGAAAAUAGAUAAAACAAUAAAUAUACAAUGUAUCGUAUUUUGCUAAUACUACCAAUCUGAUAUUAAUCAAAUAACUUUAUUCAAUUUAAAUGACUACUAUUUUAAUUAUAACUAAUUUUUAUUUGCUAAUUAGUUUUUACUAAAUUUUGUAGCUAAAUUCAAUAAUUAUUCCAAACUUUUAGUCUAUGUUAAACAAAACCUCGAGGAGAGUAAUUGAAUUGAGAUUAAAGAGCAAAAGGGUUGCUAGUUUUAACCAAAAAAAAAAAGGAAAGAAAAAGAGAGAGAGAGUGAAUAGUUUUCGUCUAAAUAUUAUCACACAGGAAGUCUUCUUUAACAUGAUAGUUCCACAUAGGAUUUGCAACAUUAUAUCCAAUGUCUCCAUUGUAUUAAAACAAAAAAUUCUAAAGCAUCAUUUUAUUCAACAAAAUAAAUGUCGAUGAAAAGCUAAUUUCUUUUUUUAACAAAUGAAACACUACAAAAGGUUUUUAAAAAAUCACGAAUUUUUUUUCACAAAUAAAUAUUUUUUAUAAUUUAACGAUGAAUCAAAUAGACCAUCAAUAAAUUUUAUUUAGCGAUCAAUAACUAAAUAUAAAAAUAAUUGUCUAUAUACCCUUCAAAACUUGAGAAAUUUCUAAUUUAUCUUUACUUUAUCUUGUGUCAAGUAUACCUUUUAUGUGUUCCUCCAUUAUUUAAAAAUGUCUCCGUAGUUACCACCAGUUAAGUUAUUCGGAUUAUACGUGAAUUAAAUGUCUAGCAGAGUUAAAAAAAAAAAUCAAAAUAAUUCUUUUGCCCUAACUUAAAAGCAAAUAAGAAAAGUUUGUGACAGUAGAAAGAUAUAUUUGAAAAUACAAAAAAUAAAAUAUUUCUUUUGUUCAUAAUUUAAGAACAAAUAAAAAAAGCUGGUGAUUGUAAAAUAAUAUAUUUAAAAUAAUAAAAUAAUAAUUUUAUCGAGAUAAUAGUUGUUGCUGGUCGUUUACUAAUAGAAUUUUAUUCUAAAAAUAUAUUUGAAAUAACUUAAAACGUUAAAAAAGUAUUUUUAAUAUUAACCUUUUAAUAGGGAUAAAUCAAUAAGUUGAAAAUUUUUAGAGAUAUAUAAGCAAUUAUUCCUAAAAUAUAUAUAAUUUACUUACAAUCACAUGACAGUAAUUUGAACUCAGUUGACUUGUUUUUUUUUUUAAAUUGCCUACUACCCACUUUGUUUAUUUUAUUUAUAAAUAAAUUUAAGUAAAAAUAUGAAUUAAAUAAAAUUUAAAUUUUAAAUUUUGGAUAUCAAUUAUCGUACUCUUUGCAACUUGCGUUUGGAACGGUCGGUAGCACAGCUCAGCUAGAAAAAUUCUAGAAUGCAACGGAUAUAUUAGUGACGUGGCAUAACAAAUCAAUUAAAUUAAUCAUUUUAAGAAUAUAUAUCCCAUCAUGAUUGUAAAAAAAUAUUUUUAUUGUACUUUUAUUUGAAAAGAAUGAAUAUAAUUGGCUUGCUAUUGAUGACGUGGUGCAAGUGUGACAGUGUAGAAUUCCUCGCUCAGCUGACUUGUUAAGCUUUCGUUUCGAGUGUUUUGGGUUCACCGCUUGUGUUCACCGCAGGUAAUCUCACAUGCCUGACGCCCGUGCCGUAGUCUGCAUUUGGCUCUCUCAUUUUUAGGGAGGCACUCAGGCGCAACAUUGUCGGAUGGGAAAAAGUCAUCUCUUAGGACACGCAUGUGAGAAGCACGUGAGUUACACACAUGGUGAGAUGAGUCAUGAGUGAAUAGCUCGAUAUUUAUAUUUAUAUACAAGUGCGAAAACGAAACUUUCGUUUUCGCGGUUGGUGGAGGGAAACCCCUCUUAGUACAAACACGUGAAUUGCACGUGAGAAAUAGUGCGCGGGCCAGGUAAUUUUUAACCUUUUUUUAAUAUUUUUUAUUGAUUGCUUUUUUAUUUAUUGCUAAGCAGCCUCUCCUUGUACGGAAAAUAAAUCAGAAAAUUAUUUUCGACAUUAAAAUUACCUUUUCAUUUAUUUGAUUCGAUAUAAAAUCACUUCUCUGUAAAGUUAUUUUUACAAAUUUAAACAAAAAAUUGAAAUUUUUAUUUUUCGCUAUUUUUUCGACGAAAAACAAGAACAAAAAUUAUGUAAAACUUUUUCAUUCAUUUUUUUCCACCAAACUAAACAAACGUAAGUUUUUUUCUUUCCAUCAAGAUAAAAAAUUAUUUUUUUCUUAUAAAUCAAACACUACAACACAUAAAAACCUUUUUUUCUCCGAAAGUUUUUUCCCCUGAUAUUUUUUUUUCAUGAUUUUACAUUAAAGCAAACAAACCCUAAGAAAAUAUAGAACUUAUUUGAAUCAUGAAUUAUUUUAAUUUGACUAUUCAAUUUUUUAAAGUUUUAAUUUUACUUUUUAAUUUUCUUAAUUUCAAUCGGUCGACGAUAUUUUGACUUCAAAAUUUUAAUGCGUCAUUUAUCUUUAUAUUAGUUAGUAUAUUUUAUACAAUUCUCAUAACUCAUUUAAAUAAGUUAUUAGCUUAAAUUUAUACGUUAAAGUGCCGUUGAGUAACUAAAUCAAGCAAAUUUAAAGGUUGAUUGUAAAACCAAUAAUUUUAAAGUUCACGUGGUCCAUAAUUCAGCUAAGUUUUGCAUGCUUUUAUCUUUUUUUAGCUCUUUCAGUUUAAAUUAUUUUACUUGACUAAAAAAGUUUUAUUAUCUGAAGUAGUUAGGGCCAUAAAAUUUUACUGAUCAUCCAUUGAUUAAUUCACACGGUUAACGGUUGGAUGGGUAGCAGUGGGCCAAGACCUAGAUUGUGAACGCGGACCCGAAACUAACCACCUUUUGCCAUUUAAUUUCCCUAACUAAGCAUUGAGCUAAUGAACUGGUUGGAGAAUAGGGUUAGGGCUAUUGUUGAUAAAUAUCCUGGUUAUUCCACCAUCUACAAUGAUGAGCAUUUUAUAUCCCUGUGGGGACUCUUUGAUUAAUGCAUGAGUACUUUUAUUUUGGAUAUGUUUUUCAAGUUAUGAUUGGAUGUAGGAAUAAAUUAUCAUUGAAUAGUUUAUUAUGUAUAAAAUAUUUCUUAUGUGAUUGAAGAUAACAAAUUUUAACUUCUAGGUUUUUUAAAGAUCUUGUCAUCAAUAAUUUGAUAGGGUAACUAAAAUGAGAUUUUUGUUUUUAAUUUUUUAGAGAGAAAGAUAGCAUGCUACCAAUCAUUAAGUUCUUUGUCAUUUGUGCUAGAAACAGUCGGUAUAAUGAAAUUUAUUUUAUUCUAAUAAAUUGAGUAUAAAGCGGAAUAUAAUAUUCGAAUCUAGACGUUUCAUCGCAUUUUUUAUUUAUAAAAUACUAUACUUCUUUAGUAAAUCAGAGGUAUAUCCGGAAUACCUUAUUUAUGCAUCCGAAUAAAACUUUAAUGCCACAAUACAUUAUACUUUCUAGUUAAUAUUUUUAGAAUAGGAUAAAUUAACUUAUAGAAUAAAUAUGUUAUCCUAUAAAAUCAUAAAUAAUAAUACUUUUCAAGAAGUAAAAAAUUGAACAUCUUGCAUACAAUCCUAAAAAAAAAUUCAUGCCAAAUAUCCUUAGGUGAAAAUGUUCCUCAUGAGAAAAUUUUGCAAGCUACAUAUUUGAGGCAACUUUCGCUGUAGAAAGUUCCCUCUCACUCAGCAUUUCAACAGUGGGAAGCUUUUAAUCUUGAGCUAAUACGAGGUAAUUAGGGCUCACAUCGCGAAAGCUCGUGCCAAAUUGGGUGAGCGCUAUUAAGUUAAAAUCGAAUUAUCAAAUCAAUCCGACCUAAUUUGAUCAAUAAACUUCAAUUUGAUUAAUAUUUUGAUUUAAACAGUUCUAUUUGACCAAAAAUUUUGAUUUUUUUGUUUGGGCAUACCGGCCGAAGUAACCAAUUAAAUGAGUUAAAAUAGUUUUUUAGAGUGAAAACUAAACUUUACGUUAUCUUUUAAAAUAUAUUUAAAAGUAAAAUAAACAUUUCAAUUUAUUCUAAUAGAUUUUUUACUAUAUUUUCUCUUUAUUAUUUCAAUAUAAAUUAAAUUCGAAUAUAAAAUUUUGAAUUUUUUAAACCAACCAAUUUAAAUUGUUGAGCUAUUAUAAUUCUGAAGGCCCGACUUAGAAAGGCCCAAAUCUAUCAAACCGACUGAACUGAACCAAAAAUUUCAGUUUGGUUGGUUUUCGUUUUUGAGUAAUGAUUCGAUCGGGUUCGAUUCAGCGAAUUGCAAGAUCGAAAAUUUUGAUUUAAUCUAUUAUUUUAUAAAAAAACCGAUUGAAAUGACAGAAUGCUCUCCCUUACUGCCAAAGAGAGGCAGCAGCGAUGUGGACAAGAUCCAAAGCAAUUUCUUUGGAAGUUUGCCGGGAACAAGCCCAGCCCAACUGCGAAAAUGGCCAUUGAUACACUUUACCAUAACAAUUUGGUCUAUUAGCGCUAUAAUUCAUUGGGCCAAAAUUAUCGACUCAAAAUACUUCAAUUUAAUUAUUAGUUAUGGUAUGCUGGUACAUAAGCCUCUCACGCUCUCCCGUAUUGUAUCACUGUUUUAGGUUCUGACGUUCUCAACCUUUCGACUGGCGAAUUAAUUUUAAUAUUAUUUAUAAUAAUCCAACCAGCUAGUACUAAUAACUCGUUGCACUCAAAUCAUCGGCCUGUUUUGAUGUGUCUAUUAUAUAAAAGCAUCUCAUACUUUCACAUGUUAUCUGAUGUGAAUGGAAUAUCACAGAAUUUUUUUUGGCUUUGUUGCUUAGUUGGUAUUCUUUGUAUUCACUUGGUAGCAGGAACAACAGGAGACAUCUUUUCUGAUUUUUUUUUCUCUUUCUUGUGUUGUUUUUCAAAUUCCCACACUUGAGUACGGACGAAGUUUUGAUUAGUUUAACUGACAAUUAACCUUCCGAUCCUCUUACGAGCUAACUAUUAUAAGGGUUUUUAGCAUCUCAUUAUUAUAGUUAGUUAAGGUACAACAACUCUUCCGUAUAUGAACAAUUUGGAAAUGAUUCCAAAUCUAUCAUAAAGUAUGGUAAUUGUUCAGGCAUUGUUUGAGAUCAUCUUGCUAGGGCCUAGUACUUCGGCAUCUUGAAUCAGACUCAAUAAUAAUGUAAAAGAUCAUAAAUUUAGCAACAGUUACUCUCAUAAUUAACAAAAAUCUGAAUGCUUAAAUUUUUUAUAUUGAAACAGCGUUUUAUACUUGCUGAUUUGAUCACUUUUUCAUUUUGAUAUUUUCUUAAAUUGUUGUGCCGUGUCCUCUCUACUCCAUUCCUCCAAACGCUUCGAAAGUAUAUUAUGUUUUUCGCUUUUUUUUUUAAAAAAAAAUUAUGCCAUGGAGCUCAAGGAUUAAAGCUUGUUUUGGUUUGGUUUUAAAUUUUUUUAUAAUUUUAAUUUAAUUAUUUUAUUUGCGAGCUACUUACUGAUCAAUAGCAAACACUAGAUGAUAGCACAGUACCUUCAUACAGAUGAAAAGUUGACUAAUAAUUUUUGUUUUAUAAUUAAUCAUUUAAUUGGCAAACUAACUACCAAUUAGGAUUAAAUUAUCAACACUUUACAUGAUAACACAUACUACGUACCUCUAGAUUGUCGAAGAGUUGGUUAAUAAUUUUUAAUUGCUCUAAUAUUGAGUAGGUUUUGGUAGUUGUUGAUUUGGUUAGCUGUAUUUAAAAUACUUAAAAUGCUUCGUGCUCCCUACAUAUAUAGAACCGCAAAAAAACACUGAUUGUCGACCUAUGAACAUUCUGCACAGUCGAUUUUAUUUAUUUAUUUUUUUUAUUUGAGAAAACAUUCUGAGUAGUGAGUUGUUUAAUAAAAUUAACUCUUUCUUUGAAAGAGAAAUAGUUCAAAAAAAGCCUCAAUGUGAUUCAUUCGGGAAAUGAAGAAGAAAAGCAGUUAAUGUAAGAACAAGCUAGAAAUUAAAAUAGAAGAAAAAUCAUGUAUUCACAUCUUUUGAACUCUCUCUUUUGAAAUGAACAACAAACAAACAGAGAAAAAAGUUUGUGUUGUGUACAAAACUAACUACAAGAAAAGCAAAUCAAUACAUCUCUUGAUUCUAAGGCAGCGUUUGGUUAGGAGAUAGGGAUAAGAAUAGGCUCUUAUCCCCUCAUUUAUAUCCAAACACUAAUUUUUUAUCCGAGAAUAGUAGUUAUCGGUUAUCCCUACCAACACUUUCAUUUUCUAUAUAAAACUACCUACAAUUGUUCUUUUUUUCAGGAACAAUCUAAUUUUCAUCCAAACACUAUUUUUUUUAUCCCCAUACUUGUACCUAUUCCUGUAAUAGCUAAUUUUUGCUUAUAUCAGAACCAAACGGUACCUAAGUGCUUUCAACCAUUAUAAAAGGACAAAAAGAAAAUCUUUCACUAAUAUAUAACAUCCCAGGAGCUACGACACAACAGCGAAUCCACCCACCGUCAUUAAUAAUUAGUGAUCGUAGAGCAGGUCUUGUUCAACUCCCAAAUCUACCGAUAAAGAGGCACAACCAACCCAUUUUGUUGCACGACACAGAGCAUCUUACGUACCUCUCUACUCUAGUCCUAGGAACGGGGAUGCAAAUGGGAACGACCUGGCCGUAGAAGAUUUGUCUGAGAUUGGAAUUGUUUUGUUACUCUUUUUAUUUUGUUGACCUUUCGUUCGGAUAGAAAAAAAAAAUGUUCAUUCGACGAGUCUGUUAACGUCCCCGUUAGCUUUCGCUGUCGAAUCGGAGCGUGACGGGCAUCUUAGCCGGUCAAUAUCGAAUUCGUCAACCAUCCUUUCUUGCCUCCGCGGAGUAAAUUAUAUAUAUCCCACUUCUCACCCGGAGAAAAAUUUGCCUCGGGAUGGCUCUCUGACUAUGCUCAGGGAACUAAUUUUAUAUUUUUUUGUUCAACUUUAAAUCUAAUAUAAUUAAUCUGUUACUAUUUUAAUUAAAAUAAUAAAAUUACUGUAGAAACAGCUACCUAUUAAUCACAUUUAUUUUAAAAGAAAGAACUAAUAUUUAAACUUCAGGGCGGUAAGAAUUCAGAGCAUAUCAAUUUUUCGCUAUAUGUUAAAUAUAAAAAUAUAAUCAUAUCGUUUUCUACCUGUUUAAAAUUUUAAAGUACAAUAAUUAUUUUACAUAGUAUCUAAGUAGACGGUUUUGAACUGAAGUCGUGCAAUGCUCCUUGCAUUAAAAUAUUUAAACAACAUUAUCUACAAGCUUACAGGAGAAUCAGAAUUCAUUGGCAUCUCUAUCUAGUCUAUCAUCUAGACAAGAGAAAAAUACUUUGAAUUCAAUCAGAUAGUUUAUUUUCUUGUAACAUUUACUCAGAUAGUUUAUUUUCUUGUAGCAUUAUUUACUCAGAAUUCAAUCAACUGGGGACGUGCACAUAGAGUUAGGAACUCGUCCUGUAUCGCUCAAUCGGGACGUCGCACCCACCGAAAUCCCUUGACUCGUUACUAUCGCUCGAAUCCAAGAGCCCUGACACCUAAGCAACUCUGGUGCGAGCGUGGGAACAACACUGCUCUUUCGUGGGCCCUUAAAUUAAUGAGGAGGGAAGUAGAAUUGGGGCUAGGGCCUAAAACCACUAUUUCUUUUUUUGUUUUUUCUUUAAAAGUAAAUGUUAAAUUGUUGUGGCUCGGGUAAAUUUGAUGGACAAUAAUUUUUAAAUAAAUUAUGAAACGUUGCAUUAACAUAACAGCAACCAAUCAAAAGAAUUACAAAUGCGGAGGCUGUAAAAUAUUUUAGCAGCUUUGUAUAUUGGCUCGCGGGGACCGCCAAGCAUUAGAUAUUCUAAUACCCUUGAAUCUUGGCUCGUGGGGCCCGUGGCAAUAAUUAAACCAAAUUUAUUUAUUUUUUAUUUUUUUAUGUAGAAUCCUUUUUGGGUAGGUGAAGCAAUGUAGCUUGUAUCUAGAAGAACAUAGAUAUAUAUAUNUUUAUAGAAAAAAAGAGCUAGUACAUGGCCAUUUGUGUUCUUGCAUUUGCUAAUUUUAAUUUAAAAUUAAGGAUUAUUUUCAAAUUUAAGAAUUCAAAAAAUAAGCAAAAAAUACUGACAGAAUUUAGUCCUCUCGAAUACAAUAUUAUUUUUUUGACAAGAGAUGUACGUUGGAUGGUUUGUAUAGAAAAAUAAGAUAAUAUUUUUUAAAAAAUUGUAUCAAAUAAUCUGAGAUGGAAAAUAUUUGAAGUUCAUACUACAUAAAGCAACCGAAUGACCGGUCCACAUAGUAUAGGUGGACCGGGUGCGGUCAACAAUGGCCGUUUGUUAGCGCACGGCACGGAAUCUCGAAUCAAUCAAUGCAUAGCAGGGAAAGAGAGGCUCUCUGACUCACAGGAAACGCGAUCGCUUAAUUUAAUGCUUAAUUCCGCCCAUUCAUAAGCUAUAUACAUGUCCACAAUUUCCACAUUUGAUCUUUCUACCUUGUUGCCCCACCAGGCCAGCACUUCAUUUAUUGUUCGCGCCACGAUUAUGUUGCUCUAAAUGUAGAUUUGAUACAUUAAUUAAUGCACGAAUUGUAAAGUUGGGAGCGCAUUUUCUCUGGAUUAAAUGUACAAAACUGUUUGCUAGAAUAUAUUUUUCUGAGAGAAAGAUAGUAUGUUAUCCGUUUCGUUUAUUUUUUUUGAAAAUAGACUUAGCUGGAAAUGUGAAACAAUUAGACUUCAAAUUUGAAAUCUCAGAUACCAAACACUGAGCCUUUACCACUUGCGUUAGAGACGGUCGGCUGUUUGUCAGAAUAUAUUGUUCUAAAUAGUCUAGAGGAUUGAUAAAAUUAUGUUUUUUUUUUUCUUUUUUUCUUUUUUUUUCAUAAUGCACGUGUAUGUUUAUAAAAAUUUUGCAGCUUUAGUUUAUGGAAAAAGUCAGAGAUUAAAGUAACAAUAUAUAGUUGUAAAAGUCUCAACUCCAUAAUAAGCCAUAAGAUAUGAGGUAUUGUCUAACACUUAAAAUUACGUAAAACUUUUUUAGAUAAAAGUAGUAAAUUAUCUAUUUUAUUUAUUUUUUUUAAAAAAAAGCUUAUCUAGUCUAGAAAUAUGAAAUAAUAAAAUUUUAAACUUAAAAUCUCGAAUACUAACUAUCAAGCUUUUAACCAAUUACGUGCUAGAUACGGUCUGUUAAUCUCUACUGUCAUUAGUUGAACAUAAUUAGGAUAAAAUUUUAUAUAAAACUAAAAUUUUCUAUCCAAAUAUUUCUUACUAUUUUUUAGUCAAACACUCUGAAAUAUUUGCUAGAUAGGCGAAUAUGCGAGAGUAAAGCUAGAUGUACUCCUAAAGAUUCCCUAGACGGGACUGAUUGGUUUAAUUGGAUUUUUUUUUUUUGAAAGAUAGAUAGCAUGCUAUCUAUUUUGUUUAUUUUAUUUAAAAAUAAACUUAGUUGGAAAUGUGAAUCAACUAGAAUUCGAAUUUGGAACCUCAGCUACCAACCAUCAAGCUCUUUAAAAUGGUUUAAUUGGAAUGUUAAAUUGAAAAGUUGAACUGUUAACUAGUUGUCACCUUAUGGACCUGGCUUGUGUCAUUUAUAAUUUAUAAUCGGAGAUAAAUUCCAAGAUACUGCUGCUCAGUUCAAGAUUUGUAACAUUUCAAAAAUAUUAGAUAUUUAUAUUUAAAAUAAUAAAUUUAUUACUAAUUUAUCAAAUCACUUGUAUUAAAAAAUUAUUAAAAAUUAAUAUAUUUUUAUUGAUAAACUACUACUAAUAAUUUCUAUCAAGCAUGAAAAUACAAAUAUCUUCUUAUCUAAAAUAAUUUAAUAUUCCAGCAAUUUGAAAAUCUAUAAUGAUCAUUUUAAUAUUUUAAUAUUAUCUUUUAUAACUAUCCAACUUAAAUUAAAUAAAAAUAAUUUUAAAUAAUAUGAAAAGUUACUAAAAUAUUACAAAGAGUAAUUCAAACAGUAGAAAUGUUAUGUAUGGCUCCACCACGAGAAUGAUGCCGAUUUUCCAACAUUUAACAAAGCUUCUUUAUUACAACGGAAUGUAUAAAGUGAAUUUUUUAGUAAAAAACAGUUAAAAGAUUUUCAUUAGUUUGAUUUAAAUAAUACUUAAUGACACUUUCAUACAGAAUGAUAAUGUUGAAAGAGCUUUAUUUUGUUUUGUGUGUGUGUGUGUACAAAUCAAAUAUAAUAGUUUUAGUCAAAUUAAAAAAAUAAAUAGUUUCCAAGUUUACUUUAUCUUUUUGGUUAUAAUAAUUAAUAUUGCGCGUCUUUUUAAAUAUUUGCAGCUCACACACAUUUGUUUUAUUAUUAUUAGGUAGGAAUUCAUAUGAGAAUCUGUGUCCCAUUUAUAAGGAUCCCGACCAACUAAGCUGCUUAGUAGUGGUAUAAUAUUAAUUUUGUUAAUAUCAUCAUUCUUUUUAUAAGAAAUUCAAGUGGGCUAAAUAAAUGAUUUGGCAUUUUUCAAAUGGUUGACGAAAUUUUAUCCCUACUUUGAAAAAGCUGAUAACGAAUUUCGACAACUCAAUUUUUUCCUCGACAUUAUUAGAAAACUGGGGAGAAAAAUAAAGGGUGCGACCAAUACGAAUUGAUAUAAAAUUUUCAAACAAAAGAAAGUUUAUUUGAAAAACACCCAACCAUAAGAGGAACGCUUCGAUAGUAUUUUUAAACCCAUGUAGUCACAUUUUUAUAUCCUAUGGAGUCGCUACAAUAUUGGCGUAUAACACACGUUCUAAGAAAUAUUUUAUUUUAUUUUCCUAAUUACUAAAGUAGUAAAGUAACUGUAUUUACUAUUCAAAAUGUUAUCUAAAAGUUUUAACAUUCUUAGCCGUAUUAAUUGUAAGGAGUUUUAUAGAUAAGGUCAGGGAAGAAAUUUGUCCUUAUAUCCAUUCUUAUAUAGAUGUUGAUGGGCAGCUACUCUGUAUUCAAACAAUAAUUUUAUCGUGAGGAGAGAUGACUUGAUAGAUAAGCAACAAAAUUAGUAGGUGAGAAACAGAAGAGUAUUACUAUAUAUAUACUUAGGCUGUAUUUGGUUGGAGAACUAAAAUUUAAAAAACAAUUUUUAUUGUUCUCGAAAAAAAAAAUAUAUUUCUACACAAAAUAGAACAAUUAGAAAUUUUCGUUUGGAUGCAUUCGGAGAUAUUUUAGAGGAUAUCCUUAGUAGCGUUUGGAUAAAAAAUCAAGAAUAAUGUCUAAAUAUAUUUUCAAAAAUAAAAUAAUUAAUCUAUAUUAGUAUAUUUAUAUAAAAUUAUUUACAAAAUUAUUUCAUAUAGUAAUUUAUAAUAUAAUAUUUUAUGUAACAAUUUAAUUUAAAAUAGUAUAUUUAUUUUAUUAUAUAUAAUAAUUCAUUUUAUGUAAUUAUUUAUUAUAUAUAAAUUAUUCAUAAUAUAUGUAAUGAAUAAAGUAUAGUACUAACAAUAUUCUUAUAAUUUUAACUAAUAAUAGUAUAAAUUUCAAUACAAAUUAAAAAAAAUAUAUAUAAUACAUAAAAAAAUAAUUUUUUAUAUAUAAUACUUAAUAUAAAAAAUAAUUAAAUAUUAAUAUAUAAUGAAAAAACUUAAUAAAAUAAAUAAUAUAUCAAAUUUAAUUAAUUUAUAUUAUAUAAUAAAAUUUAAGUAUAAAUAUAUUAUUAUUAUAAAAAUAAUAAUAUUUAUAUUAAUAUAUUUAUUUAUAUAUCCAUUUAUCUACUAAAAUAUAGAGAAGAAUAAAAUUGUUCUCAGUUCAAUUCCCUUAGGAACAGUUUUUAACAAAUUGGACCGUCCAGAACAACCGAGAAUAAUUCAUUCUCCGCAGUUCUCCUACCGUUUAGUUACAAAUUGGGAAAUAUCUCAUUUUGUUUCGAGAUAUCCCUUCUACCAAACGCAGUCUUAAAGUGGAUGUGUAAUUUAAAUUAUUUCAAUUUUUUUUGUUAUAUAUAGUAAUUUAAUUAUCUUCUUAUUUUUUAAACUAAAAAAAUAUAUUUACAUUUUUUAUGAGUUGAAGGACAAAUUUAUGCUUUUUUUUGGGUGUACAAAUGAAUUUUCUCGAGAUGUGCUCUUUUAAUUGGUGCAGUUGAUGGGGGAUAUGUAGGGCAAAUUACUUACGCAACAGGUGUAUUUGUGUACUUCUCAUAAAUCGAUUCGCAAUUGAUAUUUUAAAUUAACAAAGUUAAUAUAAUAAAUAUAUCUAUAAUUUAAAAAAUAAAAAUAAAAACUAUAAGUGGGAAAACCUUAUUCCUAGACAAGAAAGAGAAAGAAUUUAUUUGAGUAAUGAAAAAUACCUAAAAUUUAUAAUUUUUAACAUGUAAUUUUAUAAAUUUUAUAGAAUAUGUUUAGUAAAUUAAAUUUUAAUUUUAAAAUUGUAACAAUAUAAUUUUAGAGUACAGUUUAAGAUGCAUCACAAAUAUUCAAAAUGUCUUGUAUGAUAUAUUGAAAUUGACUAAUAAUAUUCCAAAGAGUGAACAAAAAAUAAUUAAAUCUGUCCACAACGUAACACUAUUUUAUUCCCUAUUUUUUAUGUAAUCAACAUGAAUCCCCAAAUUAGGUGUACUACUUCUUUCUAAAAAAAAUUAUGUGAAUAAUAAUGGGUUAGGCUAUCAGGGAGAUUUCCCAAUCUUUCCGUCUAUUAAGGAUCCCACCGAGGGCGCCUUCUACUUAAUUGGCUGGGUACAGUGGUAUACACGUAGAACUUUAUUUAAUUAUUCCAUUGAAUGUGAUGUCCAAAUUGAAAUAGGCUUUUGGAUAAACUAAAAUUUACGUAAAAAUUAAUUUUCUUUCACUAUUUAUUUUUCUCAAUCCUAAUAUUUGUAAAUAAUAUAAAAAUUGAAGGUGUGGAAGAUGAGCUAAUAUUUUAUUAUUUAUAUAAUUAAAUUCAGUUUGAAAUGAAUCGAAGCUAAUUAUAUUAUUUCAGAGAGUUUGGCUUUCGAUCGAAGGUGAAAUUACGGGAAACAAAAUGGUAAAAGAGAAUAAAUUUUUAUCGAAACUUUAGCUCGCGAGAAAAUUUACUGGGUCUAUCUAAUCAAAGUAACAUGGAACACCAUGACCACCCAAGAAAGUACCUUCGUGGGGUUUUGCCGUCUUCACGAGGUGCACAUUUAUUGACAAAAACUACAACAGUUACAGCGAUGUAUUCGCUUGUAGGAUCCGAAAGAUCUCCUUUGUACUACUCUAAUCACAACACGCUACUCGGUCCAUUUCUCUUCUCUCCACUCCGUAUCCUCUCUAUCCUCCUCUCUCUCUCUCUCUCUCUCUCUCUGUUACUCUCUCUGUUACUCCUCUCCCCCCCUCCUUUAUAUAUACAAGUAUACAACACCUCGGAUCCCUUAUUAGUUUACUCAAUACACACACACUCUCUUUCUCUCUCUCUCUCUCUCUCUCUCUUUCUCGCGCGCGCGCGCGCGCGCUCUCUCUUUGGUCUCAGUGAACUCGGAUCGAUUAGAGAAGGGGCGGGGAUGGCGAAGGAGGGGGCGAAGGGGGAGGCGCUGAGGGGGAGCUACGGGGCGGGGAGGACGAGGAGCUACGAGUGGAGGGUGGCGCAGCUCAAGGGCAUCGUCAAAAUGGCCGAGGAGAGGGAGAAGGACAUCGUCGACGCGCUCUACGCCGACCUCGCCAAGCCCGAGACGGAGUCCUACCUCCACGAGGUCGAAUCGGAUCCCUCCUCACCCCUUCUCUUUCUCUUUCUCUCUUCUUCUGUUAGUUUCUGUAUCCUCUCUAGUUGUUCUCAGAUUUUUUGGGGUCUAAUUGAUUACUAUUUUAUUAGUUUUAUUUUUGAUUUGAGUUGUGAGAAAUUUGUUGGUGUGAGUGGUGAUGGUGUUUUCUCAGCAAAGUAAAGCUGAAUAGUGAAAAGGAAAGAGAAAUACCUGGAUUUUACUCGAAUUACAGCGUAAAAUUUAAGAUGUUGAGAUUUUUUUUCCAACUGGACGAUAAUUCCGUGCCCGUUUUCAACAAUUUUGGCUCGCUUUGUUACUCUUGCCCUUUGAUGUGUUCGGCUCGACAAUUAAUCGUCUUAACAAGCGACUGACCAAGUUUACUAGAACAGAUACUUUGAAGUGAAUUGCUACCAAAUUAUCAAUUACCAUAGUUUUAAAUUUGGGUGGUAAGCUGCAGUUCGAGCAAACAUAAGAUGGUUUUGGCAAUUUUUUCCCCCGAGUGUUAUUGUAAGUAAUUGAAAGAGCGUAAAUACAGCUGCACAUUUCUUAGCUUGUACUUGGUGGUUUGUAAUACAUUUUAUUUCUCCCAUUUAGUUUCUUUUCUUGUUUCAAAUAUAAGAAAGCAAAUGAGAAUGGGAAGUGGAAUCGGAUUGCAUUGGAAUGAACAAUGGAAUGACGAAUCAUCUACAAAUAUUUGGUUUAUCAUUGGAAUGAAAAUCGGCAUCAACAAUUGUGACACCUAAGAUUUUGAGAGAAGGUUUUUGGUUAAGGGAGGAGAGAAUGAUGAAGGGAGAGGAAUGAGGGGUGUUUGUGAGAGAGAGUUUUGAGUGGUUAACUCUAGAAUGAGUCAAUCGACAAUUCAAAGAUAGGGCUAAUUACCAUUCCGGAGUGGAUUGGGAAUUGAAUCGAAAUCCAAUUUCUGUAAAACAAAUUGCAACUAUUCGAAUCGGUAAAUAUCAUUCCGAUUCCAGAGUCUAAAAUAAGUGAACCAAAUAAGCCCUAUUAAUUUUUCUAGAUCAACAUUGUAUUGGCAAGAAGUCCUUUCUGCAUCAAGCAUGGAUUACUGACUUGUUUGUGAUAUCUUUUCUUUUAACCUGUUCAGUUUAUAUAUAUAUAUAUAUAUAUAUAUAUAUAUUUUAUCCAAUGCAUGAUCAAUUGUUUAUGAUGCAGAUUUCAUUGAUAAAAUCUUCGUGUAAGUUUGCUUUAAAAGGACUAAAGAAUUGGAUGAAACCAGAAAAGGUAAUGGUCAAAAACAUCUUGUGGUUCGAGAGAAAGAAGCAUUGACUAUUCGCGUAUUAAUUCUGAUAAAAUUCUUUUGCUAACAUCAUUGACUUUAAACCAAUUAAUUCGUAUGCAGGUGUCAAGCUCCAUCACAACAUUUCCGUCAACAGCACUAGUUGUACCCGAGCCACUUGGUGUUGUGCUGAUUAUGUCCGCAUGGAACUAUCCGUUCAGUAAGUCAUGAAAAUCCAAUAUAUUUUGCACUACCUACUUAUUAGCUUGACGAAAAUACUAAAACCUGACAUGCUUACAAGAAUUGACUUUCUAAAAUCAUUUUAUCAUAUGUAAUUUUACCCUAAAAUCAAAUUCACUUAUUUUGAAAUUGCGCAGCUGCUACAACCUUCGGGGAUCAUUUGACUAUAGAAAACUGGUAUUUUGUCUUUCUUUGGUGUAAUAUCUCUGUCUGCCGAACCAAUUUGAGUAAAAUUUAGGGGCUAUCUCCUUAAAUGCAUCAGAAGCUUAGGAGACAACUAUGCUGGAACCGUUGAUGAAUAGGAGGUUUAUAUUUUCAAAGGCAAAGGAUAUUUAGGUGGUCUAAUUUCCAUAAUUGUUGACAAGAAUUGUGAUUUUCUGUACAUUACUAAUUAGAAUAAUGCAAAAGUUGAAUUUGAAAAAUAUGCUAUAAAUUUAACAGAAAUGUCAUAAACUAGAUGGAUGGUAGGAUGCUGUUAGUGUUUCUUUUCCCCAUUAGUAAAGAUUCUGUAAAACUGAUGUGUUAUCUCAUUCUUGGUGUAUAUUUGCUUUUUGCAGAUCAAAGUUAAAAUACUCUUAUCUCAUUCUUGGUGUAUAUUUGCUUUUUGCAGAUCAAAGUUAAAAUACUCUUACCAAAUUCCUCAUUUGCUAUGCAUCUUAAAUUGUUGCUCAAUUAGUACACUAACAUUUAAUUGUAUAUGGAUAGCUUUUUCUACUGGGCAAAAGUAUUAACAUAGGCUGUUCCAAAUCUGUACAAUCUGUAUAAUGCCUAGAAUAGCAGGUUGGUGUGCAAUGUUAUAUUUUCUUUAUGAAUCACCUGCUCAUUUCCUAGGUUUCCUCAAUGUUCUUUAGGUAUCCACUAUAUCCUAGAACCAAAACAUUGGUCUUGAAAGCUAUUUGCUUACAGUUGGAGUUUUCAUGUAAUGGGAAAAGUUCAUUAUCUCAAUCAGAACCCCGAAACUUAAGAAAUAACCGUUAUCUUUCUACUUUUGACAGUAUUAUCUCUUGACCCACUUAUUGGAGCUAUUGCUGCUGGUAAUGCUGCUGUGUUGAAGCCAUCAGAAAUUGCACCAGCUACAUCAUCAUUAUUAGCGAAACUUUUACCUGAGUAUUUAGAUAACUCCUGUAUCAAAGUUGUUGAGGGGGCGGUUCCUGAAACAACUGCGCUCCUGGAACAAAAGUGGGAUAAAAUAUUUUAUACAGGUUUUUCCCUUUUCUACCAUCUUUUUCUCUGUACAGAAAAAUGUAGCUUAUAUCUAUUGUAUCUUUAUAAUUUUUUAUGUUUGAGAGCGUUUAAGUUCUGUUAUUUUUUUUUCUUCUAUACCUGAGGUUGUCAAAUUCCUGCUCACUCUUUGCCAUCCUUGCUUUUUGACCUUUUAUUGUAUAAUAUAUUUAAGGCUAUUUUUUCAAACUUCUUAUGGAGACAAUGUUGUAUUCUUAAAAGAAAGUAAAAAAAUUCCUUGCUGCAACAAUCCUAAUACUGUAAUUGAUGACUAAGAACCUGGCAUACAUUGCAGGUAAUGGAAAAGUUGGUCGUAUUGUAAUGGCUGCCGCAGCAAAGCAUUUAACACCAGUAGUUUUGGAGCUUGGAGGAAAAUCUCCUGUUAUUGUCGAUUGUAAUGUUGACCUAAAGGUAAAAUCUUUUCCAGUCUGUUAAGAUAUUAUGAAAUCUAUCAUGUUGUUCCUUCUAACUGAUUAUUCUAUUUAAGCUGAUGUGGCUACGCUCAUUUGUUUUCAGGUUGCUGUUAAAAGAAUUGCAGUAGGCAAAUGGGGAUGCAAUAAUGGACAAGCUUGCAUUGCUCCGGAUUAUAUUAUCACAACCAAAUCAUUUGCACCAAAACUGGUAAAAUAAACAGAUGGAAGUAGCUGAAGAAUUUGUAGAAUAAUAAUUCUAAUUUGAAUAUGAACUUUUUUUUAAAGGUGGAUGCUUUGAAAUUUUGUUUGGAGAAAUUUUAUGGGAAGGAUCCAUUAGAAUCAAAGGACAUUUCCCGUAUUGUGAAUUCAAACCAUUUCAAUCGCCUGUCGAAUUUAUUGGAUGAUAAAUUGGUUGCUGACAAGAUUGUGCAUGGAGGCCAGCGAGAUGAGAAACACCUGUGAGCAUCAUGAAAUCAGAACUCUUUUUUUUAUAUAUGAUAAAAGCUAUAUGAAUACAAGAAAAUUGCUCUAACACCCGAUUUUAUCGCAGGAAAAUUGCACCUACACUCUUAUUAGAUGUUCCAGAUGAUGCACUGAUUAUGAAGGAGGAGAUAUUUGGUCCCUUGCUUCCUAUCAUCACGGUUAGAAAUUUUGUUGUAAUUCUAUUUUCCAUUAAGAAUAGAAAGUUGAAAGCUGUUAUUUAUAUACUCGAAACUAUCUUUUUUGAAUUUGCAUGAGAAACUAAGCAUAUUUGGUUUAUGCUUGAUUCUCAAAGCAUGGAGUGCAUUAGAAGCCAACUCUAGUAUUGUCUAGUGAGAGAAAGUAGAAAGAUUGUAUAUGAAAUCAGGAUACAAGCAUGCAUAUACAACUUAGACUAGUUCUAAGUUAGAGAAUAAGAAAAAGGAAAUGAAAUAGAGUAAUUGUACAUCUGGUUGAAAAGGUUGUUUGCUGAAGUCACCCAAUUUUGUUUUAGGCAAUUUCUAAGAUUUCUAUACUGUUUUAAUUAGGUCGACAAGGUGGAAGAAAGCUUUGGUAUCAUCAACUCGAGGACAAAGCCUCUUGCUGCCUACCUAUUCACUAAAAACAAGAAACUGGAAGAGGCAUUUGUUAGAUCUGUAUCUGCAGGGGGAUUGCUCAUAAACGAUGUAGCCUUACAUGUAUGUUUUCUAUCUUUAUUUUUCUACAUUUUUUUUGCGCUGCACAUACAUAUAUUGAAAACAUUAUUUUUUGUUCAUCUGAUAAAAACUGUUAGGCUCUUAACAGUACUAAUGCUGUAUAUCUGAAAAUCAAAAAACAUUGUAAGGUUAUGUAGUAAUGCGCUGUCCUUCAUGUAAGAUCUAGACAUUCUUACUAAAGAUUAAUUGACUAAUGUCCACAGGCAAUAAACAUUAGUUUUAUGCAAUUUUUCAUGCAACGACCCGACACGCUAACAACAAUAACUCGUUGGGCCCAAACCACCGGCCAAAAAUGCUUAAGUCCAGUUAUUAUUACUAGCGUGUAGGUCUUAUAUAAACUGAUCGGAAUCAGUAUCCCAUCCGAUGUGGGACUAUUGGGGCGUUACAUUCCAACAAUAAGCCACCGACCUAAAUCAAAUAUCCAUCUAUUCUCUUUUUGUUUGUGAUGCAGCUCGCCAACCCUCAUUUGCCAUUUGGAGGAGUACAAGAGAGUGGAACUGGCUCUUAUCAUGGCAAAUUUUCAUUUGAUGCAUUUAGUCACAAGAAGGCUGUUCUAUCCCGCGGUUUCGGAGGGGAAGCUUCAGCGAGAUAUCCUCCCUAUACACCACAGAAGCAGAAAAUUCUGAGGGGGCUGCUGAACGGUAGUUUCCUAGCCCUAAUUCUUGCUCUAAUAGGAUGGCCCAGAGAUUAAGCCCCCCUUGAUGUAUUCGUUGUAUCCCUAUUGUCGUACGCAAUAAUUGCCUUAACUAUGACGGUGUAAGGUAAAACGCUUGUGAGCGUGCGUUCCUGCAUUUUAUAUUUGGAGAAAUAAUAUACACUAUACAGUAUGUUUGGAAACACGCUUCAAGCUUUUGGCUGCAACUUUGUCGAGACAUUGCAAUGGGUUUGGUAUUACUCUCUUUGAACUUCUUUGUUUUUUCAGUAUUGGAAAAUAUGAAUAUCGCAAAGAAGUCGGUACCUGCUUUGCAUUGCCUUUUGAGCUUCUCUAUUAUCAAAUAUGCGCGAAGCAUGAAUGUCUCUCUUGAUCAAGCUAAUAAACAAUAGCAAGCAUGUUAAAUUCUAUCAUUGAUGCGUUAGAUAACAUAAAAUUUAGAAACAGUACGUAAGAAGCAACGUCAAACAACACCUCACACAUUAUUUAUCCUAAACGUUCCACAUUUCAUGUUGCUUGGUCUCUAUAUGUAGCCAACCAAUUGAACAGCUGUUCGUGUGAGAAAUAAUUAUGUUAUCAGUGAGGUCUAGCACACGAAUGUAAGAAAUACUUGUGCUAUUUUAGUUAUUGCAAAACAAAUUUUCACUCUUCGCAACUAAAUACCGUGGCACCAUUAAGAAUAAGCAAAGCAGAGAGCCAGAUAUAAGAUUCUAUUUUGUAAUUGUACAUAUAUAAGAAUGGCCCUCUCCUUGUCCAAAAGCAAUAUGCCGCCAGGGGAACAUUAAAGACAAAAUAAAGGCAUAGAACAAAGUUCAAUUUCCAAGUAAACAUAUCAAAAUGUAGCCUCAAUUUUAUAAAUUUUCUCUCAUCUUCACCAGAACUUAAGAAGUUAAAAGUAUUUACGCAUUGUUAAAAAAAAAAGCGCUUCGUCUGAUAUUAUUAAACGAUGUGGCAGAACAAAAGAUGAUUGCUUUUUUUUAUCCCUCCAAGCCUUCAAGUCUUUAGGAAGCAAAGCAGCAUGUCUUAAGCUUGAACGACUCCUUGAAGCGGUAGGAGGAUACACAUAAUAACAAAACACAGAGUUAAGAAGCUACCAACUUACUUCACCAUACGGUGCUGGAGCCUCCGUGUCAUCAUAUUGAGAUACCCUGCAGCAUUUCCAAUGAAUACAUCUUUAAACUCAAGAGUUCCCUUAAAAUGAUUAUAUUCCGAGUUACUAAAUAUUCCAAGUUACUUUUCAAUCUCUUCUUCAAUGAUCUAACUUACUUAUAUGCCCUCACAAAAUGAUCUAUUACAUGGACACCCUGUGAAAUCUUAGUUUUGUAUAUAUCCUCAAAAAACUUGAUUUCUUGCACGCAUACUUCUAAAAUAUUCUUUAAAAAACUUGUAUUUAUACAAAACUAGCUUUUGUCAUUUCCCCGAGUUGGAUGACUCUUUUGUAAGCGGGGAAAAAAAGAACUUGCGAGGGGCAUAUAUGAAUAUUCAAAUUUUACACGACCACAUAUAAAAAUAGGUAAUUUUGCAGGGGCAUGUCUAUUGAAACCCUUUUUUGGCCAAGAUGAAGGCUUUGCUAAUAAUAGAAAACAUUCAUAAAUUUUGAUUUUGCAUGAUAAAUUACCUCUGGAGGUUCAAAUUUUGCACCAAGAUUACUGAGCUUAGCAUGAGCUUCAGCAUAGUCCUCAAAGAAUGCAUCUUGAUCCUCUGCAUAUUUCUCAGCAUAGACCUGCAAACAACGGAGCUUCUUGUGGUAAAUAAAGGUCGAAUCCUACUGAGUAGCAGUGAUUAAUCAUCAGCAUUCACCUUGAAUGAUGGGUCCUCAAAUAAUACAGCGUCAGUGGGCAAAACUAGAAGGUCUUCAUCUCUUCGUUCUUUGACAUCCUACAUGAAUAUCCUUGUUGAACUCAUUUCAUAUUAUUGGAUGAUUGAAUAUAGUUAUCACAGCAUUUAGAAGAGGAUUUAUUACAGCAUUACAAAAGAAUCUUACCUUGAAGUAGCUAUUAUCGAACUUUAACCACUGAACGGUCCACGACUGCCCCCCAGGUGCUCCAGGUCCAUCUUUCUGUUAAGCAACGAAGACUGAAUUAAUGACCCAAUAUUCACCACCAACCCAGCAUUAUUUCUUAACAUUAAACUGUGCAUGUUAUUGAAUUAGAUAUAAGAAAAGUUGAAGAGUUAUGUGGCAGUAAGAAACAUAUAACUAGUUUACAGGACACAAACAACAACAGUAUCACUUGUGAACAUAAUGAACAUUGCACAAUCAGCAAUACCACUGGCGGAACAAAAUAUUGACCAACAUCCAAAAAGCCAUUGAGAAUGUCAUUAUACAACAAGCAAAGCUUAAAGAAAAGAAUAGAAAACCAACUAAGCUUCCUUGCUCUGAUAAGAAAUUUGGAGGGAAAAGAAAAUUUGAAUUAUUGAGCAAUUUGCUUUUGCUCAUAUUUGAACAAAGAGAAACUGAGGGCCAGGUUAUAUCCGUAUAAAUUCGCAGGCUUUCAAAUUUUUGAUCACAAGCAGAGAACAGAACAGAUAGAUCAUACACACUGAUGAAAAAGACCUCAUGCCAGAAAAAGAAUUUCUCUGAGGUUUGUCUAUCUUAAUAAAAAACCAAUGUUGAUUAGCAACUGCAGACCUUGAAGGUUCCAGUACGGCAGUACAAAGUAGAUGAAAUAGGGCAAUAAAAGGAAAUGGAUAAGAGGGGGCAACAGAUGGGUAGAGAAAGAAAUCGGGAAAGGGAGAAGAAGAAAAGCAAGAAAGGCACAGAGAGAGACCGGAGCAGCACCAGAAGAAAGCGAAGAAAGUAUUGAUGUUUUUAUAAAUAUUCUGUAUUUUGAGCAAAAGCCUGGGAGCAAAACAAUGAGAAUAACAUACUGUGUACUUUGUUUCGGGCUUUCCCCAGCCACUUCGCUCUGGUCUAGCCCUUCCCAGUGUAUGUGCUCCAGAUAAUGCAACUAUCUCCUGCAAACAAACAUCAUACAUCUUGAAUUAUGUACUUUGAUACAAACAAUUAUACUUGCAAGGAUUAUCAUGAUCAUAAUAAACCUUGUCUGUUAGGCCCAUUCUGUAGAACACCUCCCUUAAGUGAUCAGCAGGUGAAGGUGGGCCGGCAGCUGAACACAGAAAAAUUUUAACAAUAUUAUGGAAUGUAAGAAAACAGAGCAAGAGCAAGAGCAACUAAAUGGUAAAGUCACAGCAAUAUUGGUAAAGUUUCAACAAUGAUUCGGCAAGAUAAUAAAAAGCAUAAAACUAGUAUAAUAAAAUGUACGAAGAUUGUUGUAACUAUUGAACCGCGGGUCAAAAUGACAAUUUGGCAAGAGAAAGAACGCAUAAAUUACCAACAGAAACUUUCAGGAAAAUGCUGUGAUGACCAUGCCAUAGCCAAGUUAUUGAGCAUUCUUAUGGCCAAACCAAUGUAAAAGCAGAUAAGCUGAUCCUAUACCUUCUAUACUACAGUGACACUAAGAUCCAGAUGUCACUCAAAUCCUACAGAUCAUACACUUGGUGUAACACAGAAAUGUUAGAACAAAAACACGAACUGUCCGAUCAAAUAAAACUACUGACCGGGAAGCCUCCCCUCGGGUGGGCAUUGUUCAGGUCCGCUAACGUCAACCCUCCCAUACUUCAUCGGAAUCUUUGGUCCACCAGCUUCCUGAGAUAAGAACAAGGGGAAAUAUGAAAUUCCACAAAGUAUAAAAAAAAGGGAGUUUCAUCACUGUAAAAGUCUAAACAAAUCAAAAGCCAACUAAUUCAUUGGAGGAAAAGACCUCAAUGGCUGUAGCACUGGCUAGCUGGAAUAGAUCUGCAUAAGUUAUGCCAGAAUACUUGUCCUUGAUAGGCUGGAUAAGCUUUAAGGCAUUUACAAGACCUGCAGUACAGUAUAAGAAUCCCUCCAUGGCAGUUUAAUAGUAGAUUGAAUAGGGUACAAAAGAAAAAAGAAAACUACCAGCAUUUGCUCCAUGCUUCAAUUCUACUUCAAAUCUCAGGCUUCCAUUAGCUCCUCCUCUUUGCGGCCACUCUGUGAUGUUCUUGUCAUAAGUACCAGCAUCAUGCCAUCCCAGACGAACCUGCAAUUGAAUGGAAUCAUCACAGAAGCUAGAUGCGUCAAAUAGAGAAGUCAAAAGUUAAAUUUUAUGCAUCAAUAGUGGUAGCGCUUAAACAAUAUAACCUUUACAAUAAAACCCAAAUGGAACAUAAAUAUUUUGAUUUUGUUCAUUUUAAUGUUGUUCAAUUCAGUUCACUUCCAAAAUUUGAAAGCCAAAAGUUGCAAACCAGUCAAGUUGUCCUCCAGAUUUUGCUUAACCCACUAAAAUGUAUAGUCACGUACUAGUACCAAAUACUUGGCAAAGCCAUUUUAGAAACACAUAACACGUUAGAGGAGCUACUUUAUUGUAAAGAAACCUUGAAUACUAAGUGUUCCCUACACUAAUAUUCUCUCAACCUUCCUCUAAAAUAUAUUGAAUUCCUUUCCCAAAAUAUUUAGGUUUAAGCUGCACUACCUAACAACUGGGCCACUAUUAUCUCCAACCUAUAAAUUAAACUAAAAACCAGGUAACAUUUAAGUUCCCAAGUAGCAAUUUCAACUGAUAGUGAGAUCAAAAGAACCUUCCAAUCUACUUCAACAACUCAAAUACAGCCAAUAUUUUCUCCGUCGAGAGCUCGACAAACCAAAUCAAAGCACACAAACAAGAUGUUCACCAAAGAAACCGAAUCAACACGAACGCGAUUCUCACCAAUAGAAACGAGAACGAUGACACCAUACCAGAAUCGGGUGGCAAAAGGUGGCCUUAAGGAGCUCCUUGAUGUCCUCCCUCGCGCUCCUCAGCUGCGCCGGAUCCGACGACGAGAACGUCGCCGCCGCCGCCGAGCUGAUCCCACGGCCCAUCGCCGGGAUCUGCGAGAUCCCCAGUACGAUCACGAACAAGGAGAUCUACAAGAGACUCUGGAUUAGGGUUAAAGAGUGGAGAGAACGAACCUGUAGGAUGCGGGGGUGCUGAGAAGAGAGUGGCCAAGGGGAGCGGAGGAGGGAGGAGGAAGAGGAGGAGGUGGAGAGAAGGGAUCGGGCGAUGGAGGGGCGAGGGGAAGAUGAAAUUAGGGUUCGGGGCUUUGCAGCGCCGCGCUUGGGGAGGAGGGAGGCGAUGGAGGUCGCGGAGGAGAAGAGGCGCUGCGCCAUCGGAGUAGCAACGACGUGUGACGAGCACGCGACGCCGCUCGGAUUGGUUGGCUUUGUGUGAAGUUAGGACUCGGCGAAAAGUCGAGCGUUGGCUCGAUGACGACCAAUUAAUAAGAGCAGGACAUAAGGUGUGUGCGCGUGCAGAAGCUUUGGUGAUCAGUAAGUAAUUGGUCGAGCUCAUGCGUAUUAUUGGGAAUGCACAUUCACCGAGACUGGUCUCAGCCGCCCAAAUCAGCCUCGAGAUUCGUGGCCUCUCUUCGCUUCUUGUUUUUUUUUUUCCAAAGGCCUCCUCGCCUCAAGUUUUCCUACCUUCUAAAUAAAUGAAACCAUAGUAUACUAUCAAUUCUUUUUAAAAAAAUUUGAUAUAUAGAUAAUUUUAAUAUUUUUUAAAAAGUGGUGAAUAAUUGUUGUAUUUAAAAAGUGAUAAUUUAUUAGCUGCAUAUACUUGGUUUCGUAAAUAAAAUUUUUAUUAAACUAUUUUUAUAAUUAUUAUAUUUUUUAAACCUUUUAAUAAAAGAUGUUUUUUUAAAUUAAAAACUUGUCACGACCAAUUUUUGUCAAGUUAAGCCUAAUUGAAUUAGUUACCUGGUUAGAUUGAAAUAUGGAGAGUAAGGCAAAAUUUCUUGACAAAAAGUGAAUUGAACUGAACAUCAUCAUCUCUUCACUAAACGUGCCUUGAAAUUGGAUUAAACUGGCGCGCGUUGUUACAAUGACUAAGACAUUUUUAAUAUGAUUUCGAACUUCCAUCCGAAAGGAGUAUUUGUGAUUUGAACAAUGCACUCUAUCAUUAUUUGUACAUCCAAAGACUAAGCACAAAUUUUAUACUUUAUUCAUAAAAAAUAAUAUUUUUACGCCAAGCGUAUCAAUUUUUUUAAUAUUAAAGUUUAAAAAAGGUGUGUAAAUUUUAGACGAAUGGACAUAAUAUUUACAUUAAUUUUUGAAUAUACAAGCAGCUAGCAUAAAUUUUAUAGAAGGCUCAAAGUUUUAUAGAAAAGGUUUUAUUUUAGCCUCUUAAAGACUAGAAUUUCUAAUAUUUUUAUAUUUACUAUGCGUAAUUAUUAGAGACUAAUAUGUAAUUUUUAAAAUUCUCAGUGGGAUCAUAACCACUAUUAUGCUUCUUAAUAUAGCUCCAUCCCCGCAUAUAUGUAUAUUUUAUUUACUGUAUGUCCGGAUUUCAUAAAAAUAAAUUAUAUUCAAAGUUAAAACUUACUUUAUAAAAU